UUUUUUUUUUUUUUUUUUUUGGUUUUUAACAAACUUCUUGUGAAACGAAAUAAUAGAAAUGGAGGCUGUUAUGGUUUUCCUCAAAACUUGAGGUGGCAUAAUUAUGCAAGUUAUACCAUAGUCAAUGUUUUAAAACCCGGACCGUCAAUUGAACCGGUGAAGUGAAAAGGUCGAGAUUCAACCGGUCGGACCGGUUCAACCUCGGUUCAAUGAAUUUUUUAAAAAAUAAUUAAUAUAAAUAUAUAUAUGCACAAAAUAAGACAUGCAAUAGACUAAUUUAAAACUUUAUAUGAUGAAAAGUUUACUAUUUUUGAAUAACUUGGAUUUUCAAAAAUAAAUUUUUUAAAUUAUAAGUUAAAACAAAUAAAUUUCAUUUCAAUUUCAAUUAUAUCUACCAAAAUAAUCUUAAAUCUAUCCCAAAAAUAUCACAAUAUUUUGAAAUUAUACAAAAUUCACGUCUAUGAGGAUUUGACAUUGUAAACUUAAAUUUUAAAUUUAUGCCUCUGGGAUUUAGAGAUUGCAAUUUAAAAAAGAAAGUUUGGAGUUCGAAGGAAGUCAAGAGAAUCGAAAAUAGAAAUGCAAACUUGAUAAGAAACAAAAAAUGAGAUAAAAGUGAGUGGUUGUAGCAUUAAAUAAUUUGGGUUAAAAAAUAAUUCUUUUUUAACUUUUUUCAAAUUUGUGUUUUCAAUUCGGCCAUUUGACUUUCUCACUCAGUCCAUAUUCAUUGGAAAGAAAAAAAUUCUCCAUAUUCACAUUUUUUGUCCACUAGAAAAUUGUUAUUAGCGCCCAAUUAUUUAUCAAUGUUCCCUUAUUUAAUAUUUGUUUACCAGUCAGUUAGGUAACAAUAUCCUUAUUCAAUGUUACUACCUACGAUAUUGUUUUGAGAUUGUAAUUGAAAUUAAAAUUUUUAAGUAUUUUGUUUAUUCACACAAAUUUAAAAAAAAAUCAAGGAGUCAUGAUGUAAAGUACGAAUGUGUACAAUGUAAUUAUAAAUAUUUUUUAAAAUAAUAAUUACUUAUCAAUUUUUUUCCUAAAUACUUGUCUACAAUGUCAAUUGAGCAAGAAUAUCCCUACUCAAUCUUUCUAUCUAUUAUUGCAUUUCAACCAUUAUUUUAUUGUGAGAUUGUAACUGAAAUUAAAAGUCUAAGUAUUUUUAUUUAUUUUCACAAAUUAAAAAAUCAAGGGGAUUACAUUAAUAAUCAAGGGGAGUACAUUAACAAACAUAGAUAUGCCAACAAUAUAUUUGUGAUGUAAAGCACAAGUGUUUUUGAUGUAAUUAAAAUUUUUGAAAACAAUAACUUAUCUAAACAAUUCAAUUUAGUUACCAAAUUAGAUUGUCAUUUUUUUAAUUUUUUAUUUUUUCACAAAUUUAUUUCUUGAUUAUUUUUAUUCUACACAUAUUAAAUCGUUGUCGUACAUUUUCUACAAAAAUUUAAAAAAUAAUUUGAAAAAGCUAUUUUAUUAAAGGAUUUUUUUAACGGUUGUCCUAACACAUUUAAUACACCUAAUUUAUUAUAUAUAUACAUAUACUAACAAUUAUUACUAUCUUUGCAUUUAUAUAUGUUUUAUAUACAAAGAAAUAAGUUUGAUGUAUCUUAGGUUUAGGGUGUUUUUAGUUUUUCAUUUAAUAAGUUAAGUAGAUAUUUGCACAAAAUAAUCAUGUCCGCUGCCUAUGGCUCAGGGGUAAGGGCUUCUUAUAACAAACACAAGGUUUGGUGUUCGACUCUUGGCAGCUACAAUUUGGAAUUUCAUUUUGAAAGGUUUGGCGUUCACGGUCUAAGCGGGUUUUUCCGGUUCGUCCGAGUUAUCCGGUGGCAGCUACAAUUUGGAAUUUCAUUUUGAAAAGUUUCAAAAACCGCCGGUUCACGGUCUAAGCGGGUUUUUCCGGUUCGUCCGAGUUAUCCGGUUUCCAGCGGUUCUUGACUACUCUCCGGGUUUAGCUCUAGACCGGACCGUUGGCCUGUCCGGUUCGCGGUCCAACCGGUUGAACCGGCCGGUCCGGUCCGGUUCUGAAAACACUGACCAUAGUGAGACAGCAAAUGUGGAAGUUCCCAUAGUGGGGCUAUAUGGUUUGUUUAUACAAUUAUACUACUAAUUUGAUGCAGAAACAGACACACAAGAGCAAGUCAUCCAUUGAAAAAAUGGGGUAAACUUGCCUAAUUAACAAGAAAGAGGGCACAAUUUAAAGUUAAUUGUUUUGAAGUACAUUUACACAAAGGAAAAUGUUGAAACAUAUCCUCAAACAUGUCCAAAUUUGUCUUGCUGCCCAAAAGAACUCUAAAAAACUACAAACCUCUCCCUCGGGGAAUCUUUCUUUUGGAAACUCAAAUUAUUAGGAUCACGAGUGUACCAGUGAAUCGAAUGGUAGAAAUUCCAUCACUGGUAUCCGUGGGAAAUAAGAUCCAUGGAGCCACAGUCCCGAAUACAUAGAUGUGGAGGUUUCUCAAGGUUUUUGAGUUUUGCCAUGUGCAAAUAACCAGUCAGUUACCAGGUUCAAACCGUGUAUUGGAGAAGUUUCAUGCAUCAUCACUUCCGCAUGAACUUGAAGUAACAUCUGUAUUUGUUCCAAAAAUCGUUGUUCAUACAUUUAUGAACUUGAAGAAUGAAAUUGACCUGCUUUGUGCUAAUGAAGCAUUUGCUUACAAGGCAAAAUCUCCAGUGAAAAGCACAGGUAGACAGCUGCUUAUAGCUGGUGCUCAUCAGUUGCAUUUUCAGAAUGCUGAACUAGCAAGAAUUUGAUAUUUUAAUAUACUCUUCAGCCAUAGAUUAUUGCAAGUCAAGGAGGUUGAUUUUAUGAAAUAAGAACAAGAUUCAUGAACGUUCCACUCUUGGAGAGAUUACAAUGGGACUCGUGACAACGUGAUUGCCAUCAUCUUCUAUCCAUGUUACUGAACCAGAAGAUACAAUUUGAUUCUCAUUGCCAUAAUAACUAAUGGUCAAAGAGUAACUCUGCUUCUCAUACUUCUUUCCAAAUUUAAUUGUUUUCGGCGAAAUUGUGACUGCAGAACCUUUUGGUGCCGUCACCUUUGCUGUGUAUGUUGCCGCACCAUUCCCAACGUUCGUGAGAGUCCUACGAAAUUUCUUAACCAACUUGCUUUUUGCUUGAUCCGAAGUCUCGUACAGAGCAACAAAUGAUGGGUAGUUCAGAUCGGAUGAAGGGUUUGAGCAAUUAUAACUAGUUGAUCUUGUUAUUGCUAGAGUCUGCAUCCGAGUGAAAUUCAUUGAGCAGAUGAAGUUGAUGUAGUCUUGUGGAGUAGCAUCGUAUAUAAGACCUGGAUCCAGUGCACGAUUUGGAUCGACAUGUCCUGCUCCAAUUGCUAAUGGUGUAGCGACUUCAUUAUCUCGGCCUGUGUCUUUGAUGGGGCUUCGAGUAUUAUCCAGCGUAGUAGCUGUGGUCAUCAUUGCAGACCGAACAGCAGCUGGACUCCAUUCAGGAUGUGCACCUUUCAGGAGUGCAGCGAUUCCAGAAGCGUGAGGGCAAGACAUUGAUGUCCCUGAAAUGGCAGUGAAAUCGGUGGACAAGAGUAUGCUGGAACCAAUACUAGCUUCAAAACUAUCAGGAUAAUAGGCUGCUAAGAUUAGGACUCCUGGUGCCAUGAUAUCUGGUUUCAAGAUACCAGGAAAGCCUUGCGAAGGACCCCUCGAGGAGGAAGCAGAAACAACUGGUGCUGGCUUUGUACCCACGAAAGUCUGCUGGAACUUGAUAGUUGCGGUAGGAGAACUGCCCUUUGAAGCGUACCUGAUUACCUUUGCUGCAUCCUGGCGGCUAAUUACAACACCAGGAUGAGGAAAAAAAUUGGACCUAAAUAUCGCAGGCUCCUCAGAAACAAAAAUACCUGCUCGGGCAUUAGCCUCAUAAACAUGGCGAAUUUGUUCUCUGAAUGGCACAGUUUCAUCACAGAUAACAACACUUCUACCUAUGUCAGUUACAGUUAACAGUGACUCAGUUGAAUCACAAGCAGAUAUGGUUUGAUUGUAUAUGAUAGGCAGGUCUUUAACCAGGGCUCUUGCGGGGAACAUGGACCAUCCAAUGAUGGUUAAUCCAUUUCCUAGAACCAAACUCCCGGAAAAUUUACGGUCCACAGAACCUGCAGCAACUGUCAAAGCCCAGGGAAUAUCAUUGUGGACAGUACCAAGAUCUGGACCUCUAUUUCCAGCCGAAGUGGAGACGAAUAUUCCCUUCUCCAUGGCACCAAAAGAAGCUAUUGAAAUAGGUUCUUCAUAGGGAGGAGUAAAAUCAAAACCCAAGGAAAUUGAGAUCACAUCAACACCAUCAGCUACAGCCUGAUCGAUGCCUGCUAGAACAUCAGCUUCAUAAGAUCCUUCAUCCCAGAGAACUUUAUAAGCUGCCAGCCUGGCACGAGGCGCAAUACCUCUUGCUGUGCCUGAACCAUAGCCAAAGAAUGAUACUCCUUCAACAUAAUUUCCAGCAGCGGUGCCUGCAACAUGUGUUCCAUGGCCUGAAGUAGUUCUAGCUGAAUUCAUACUGAGAUUCAAGUUGGGAUUUGCUGCUAAAACAGCCUUGUUGAAAUACUUGGCUCCAAUCAGUUUCAAGUUGCACAAUGAAGAAUUGAAUUCUUGACCUUCCUGACAUGAUCCUUUCCACCUUGGAGGAAUUGGUGUCAUCCCAUCAUCUUUGAAGCUCGGAUUUUCAGGCCAUAUGCCAUCAUCAACAACACCGAUGAUCACAUCUUUGCCAUAAUCAGAAGCAGGCCAGAGUCCUGUUGCUGUAUUGAGCGAGAGGAAAUCAGGAGUGUGAGUGGUGUCAAUUGUAGGUGAUCUAUCAGGAUGAGCUGACACAAAGCCAGGCGACUUCUUUAGAGCUUGUAAAUGGUCUUUAGACAUCAAGGCACUGAAACCGUGAAAUGCAGCAUCAUAAGUGUAGAGAAUUUUUGGUGCAAAACCAUGAUCGGAUGUCUGCCCAACAUUUCCAAUGGAAUCAAUCAUGGAGGUGUACCAGUAAAUGUGACUGGCAAAAACCUUAGGCAUUAAGGACUUGUCAAUGUGGACGAUGUAAAUGGAUCUUUCUGCUAAGGCACCAAGAAUAUGACUAGAAGAAAGAAACCAAACAAGGAACAGAAAGGAUACUGUUUCAGUCAGCCCCAUGGUUAACUAUUACUCUAACCUAAAACACCACAAAACUGUAUAUAUUUCUUGCUAUAUAUUCACGGAGAAGAAGCUAGAAUAGGUGGAAAUUUGAAAAAAAAAAAAAAAAAAUACGGGCUGAGAAGUUCUACAAGGAUAUGGCCUACAAUGGACUAGUUCCACACUCCAUAGCAAUAAAAUUCAAGGUAGUGAUGACACAGAAGCUUAGGCAGAUCAUGAUUGACAGUUCCAUCGAUUACUUUCACUCUAGAAAAAAGUUUUAUAGUCUCUUGACCGAGGCAAACGCCUUGUUCAUCUUUGCUUAAUGUGAUAUCAAUUAUUGCAAUCAUUGCCAACUUGCAAGGAUCCUUUUCUUUCUUUUUUUUUUUUUUUUAAUGAACUGGAAAUCAGAAAAACAUUAGGAUUCCCAAAAAAUUAAGAAGCAUAUGUUUAUGUUAAGUAAUGAACAGAGGUAUAAAUAACAGAUUUGAUGGACUUCUUGUGCGUCUGGACUAUAAUAUGCUCCAAUUAUUCUAAUUGUUAAUUUUUUUUUCCCAAUUUUUUGGUUGACUAACAUUGUUCAAUCCAACAAGCAAAGCUAUUGAUCUAGAGGAUGAUAAUGAAAACAGCAAUCCUUGAUUGAUUAUGCUAGGAAAUGUCUUGCGAAUUUAUGACAAUCCAGAAAGCCAUAAAAGUGGAUGAGCCAUAAAGGAGGUCGGAUUUAAUUUGAAACCGUGUUGCGACAAUGUGGACAAGAUAAGAUAAAGACUAAACUUCAAAGCGGAUAGCUCCUACUGUGCCUCUCAUGGACAGCUCGAUUGGUCACAGCACGUCUCCUAAGGAGCUGUUGUCUAGUGUCCGCCAGAAUUCGAGUCUCAUGAUUAUCGUGUUCGGAGGGAUGGGGCCUCUUCUCUCGGACCGGUGGGGGAUUAGUUGGGUCCGAUUUACCCGAUGGCCCGGAUACCCCCUCUGUGAAAAAAAAAAAAAAAAAAGAUAGCUUCUACUACCUACCACAUGCCUAAUUCUUUGCCUUAAAGAUUUAGUAAUCAAAGGUUCCAAAGAGGAAAAUGCAAGGCACAAGGUCCCAUUUGCUUCAUCUUUCUUUCUUCUUCCUCCCAAAUAGGGGUGGCAAUCGGGUCCAAAUCAGGUUGGCGGGUUGGAUCCUGACCCGACUCGUCAGAAAAUCUGUUGACCCGAACUCGACCCGUCAAUCCGUGACGGGUCAGGUAUACUGACCCGAACUCGAAAAUUUCGGAUUGACGGGUUGAUGGGUCGAUCCGAAAUAACCUGAAACUUAAUUUUAAUUUAUUAAUUGAUGACUGUAAUUUCUAAUAAAAUCAAUUUCUCACAAAACUAAUUACAUAGUAAUAAAAUUUUAAAUAAAUAAUUCCAAACCAAAUCUAAAAUAAAUUAAACACCGUAAAAGUGUUUUAUCCCAAAUAAAAAAUAAAUUAAAUUAAAACAGUAUAAAAGCAAAAAAUAAUAUUUGUCCAAAUAUAAUAAUUUCAACUUCACACAAAUUAAAUAAAUUCAUUUAGGAUUAAGUAAUUAAUGCCUUUGAAAAAAAAAGAAUAACUUAGUUUAGUUAGAUAAAAUUAUUUUUAUGUUUAUUAAAUUAUUUUUAAUUCGUAAAAGGGUCAUAUCAGGUCACCACGGGUUAACCUGAAAUCGACCUGUUUUCUUUUCGGGUUCAUCGAAUUCAACCCGAUUCUGACCCGAACUCCCGAAAUCUCAAUCCAAACUCAUUAAUUUCGUGUUAAAUUCGUAUCGUGUUUUCAGGUCGUGUCGAAAAUUACCAACCCUACUCCCAAACAUCAUGGAAAAAGGCUACAACUUUCUUAAAAAUUCCUCUUGCGUCAUGCCACCAUCUGAUGCAUUGAGACAACGUCAUGCCAAAAGUGUAUAAUUCAGCUCAAAAUUUUCCAUGAUGUAACAUAAACUAGUACCUUCUUCUUCUCUUAUUAUUUUUAUUUUUUAAAUUUUUGUUACUUCACAAACGAGCUUUAUUGGGUUUUUUUUUUUUAAAAUUUGCACUUGUUGGGUAUACAAUAAUUGUAUAGUUUGAAAAUUUUCACGCUACCAUAUAUGAAUCAAAUGAGGUUAAAGUUUAUAACUUGUGUAGGUACAAUCGCAAAGUACAAUUGACGUGUAGAAUCGCCAAAUGAAAUCAGCUGAAUUUGAAUCUUCUAUAUCAAGAAUGGUAAGUUGUACAUAUUAGUGUCUCACAACCAUUGGCUGACACUACAAAAUUGAUAACAUCACCAACAAAAUCUAACAGUUUUCUUUGUAGGAUAGAGUUUAUGAGGUUUUUCUUGAAAAAAAAAAUUACAAAUUGACUAAUCAAAGAGAUUUUGGGGUGCUUGUUUCACAUAUUGGAAUCGGAAAUGAAAAUGGAAUUAUAGACUCUGGUUUUGGAAUUAAACUUUUCAUUUCAAUAUCUAACUUGGUUCACACAUUGGAAUUAGUAUCAUUCCAAUUUCUGAUGCAUGGUUUGAUGAGUGUUUCGGAAUUAAAUGCAAUUAAAUUUCAAAUUUACCCAUGAUAUAACAAUUCUUAUAAAACAAAGGGAUAAUUGCAGAAACUAGUAGGUUUUGUAUUUACAAAAAUAUGAGAUUUUGUAGAUUUUAAAGUUUAAGGAAGGGAUAUUUGAAGUUUAACGACUGUUAUACAACUUUCAAAACAAACAAAUUCAUUCUAAAUUUUUUUUUUGGAUAAUUUUAUAAACCAAAUCGCAGUCACUUUCACAAAAGUCAUAUUUUCCCAUAAAAGACCAACUCUUUAUGACUUUCCUCUAUUAUAAAAACAGAGUACUUAUUUUCCCAUAAAUAAAUUUAUUUAUAGGAUAAAAUAAAAAUAAACCCGUUUUUUAAUAAAACACUAGUUCUUUAUGACUUUCCUCCAUUAUAAGAACAGAGUACCCAUUUUUCCAUAAACAAAUUUAUUUAUCGGAUAAAAUAAAAAUAAACCCGUUCUCCAAUAAAACACCAGUUCUUUAUGACUUUAAAAUGAAGGGUUACAAUGUCGCUGUCUCUAUCACCAUCAACUUUUGACUCCCUACUUCUUCCAUCCCACCCAACACCAGAACGAAAUACUAUUAUUUUCAGCAUCUUCAAUAGAAGUAAAAAAACAGUCUGAUAUUCUCAUACCCAUUGCAUAGCCUAUUCGUGAAGAUGACAAAGUUUCUCAAGAAUCGUAAAUUCACUUCAAGGGCUGAGAUUAGUUCCUUCAAAGACAAAAUCAAAUUGUCUUCAAAUUUAAGCAGAUCCUUCAGAUUUACCAGAACACAAUCAAAAAAUUCCACCAGAAUUUCACCACUCAUGGCAUUGUUUGGUUCUAAGGAAUGUUUUGCCCAAUCAAUAAAAUCUUCUCCAAUUUCCACCUUGGAAGCUUCAACCUUUUCAAACAAAUCAUCUACUACAUGGUCUAAUUUCUCGUUUAGGCUCUCAGAUCUUGGAAAGCUAUUGCUACUAUUUGUAAACCUGAACUUGAGACUUUGAAAUGAGAAAGAACAUGUCCGAUGAAGGUGAUGGGCGGCGAUUGAUUGAAGAUGAAGAGAUAGGAAAACUGAUGAAGAAAAAGACUCUGAUUUUGUGCGGUGUGUGAUGGAGAGAAAGAUAGGGUAGAUCCAUUAUAAAUAUUGUCUGAGGGAAUGAGUUGAGGAUUUUGUCCAAAACCUCCCAAUUUGCUCGGGAAUGAUUUUUUAGAAAUGAUUCAAAAAAUGACAUUCGAAUAGGCUUAUCCCAAGCAACAAAUAAGGGUUUAUUCCAUUCUGUUAUUCCCAAACCCUUUAACCAAGCAGCCUAAAGGUAGUUGGACUGACAAAGAGACUCAUGUUGGUAUGAAUUGGACUGACAAAAAACCCUUAAAGGUAGUUGCGAUCUGGAAGCGGCAUUAAAGCAAGUAUGAGAAGAUUUCCAGGGUCAAGAAUAGUACGGACUGACCUUGGCCCGAUAAGAAGAAGCAAGCCCAUUAAGAGCAGGUCCAAUCUGUACAGAGACGUUUCAAGGGCCCGACGGACUGCUGACUGCCCAUGUGCGUUCGUAUUACGUGUUAACUCUCUUCGUGUUGAGGGACCAAAUUUUCUGGACGACAAAAAAGUUGUUGUACGGUUGGACACUUGUACUACUACUCUUCCCAUGAAAUGUAUAUAUUAACAUUAUAGUUUUUCUUUCUUUUUUUUUUUUUCUCUCUAAAGAGAGAACAAUGAUACAUAAUUGUUGAAAUUUAAUUUUACUCCAAGAAGAUAUUUAAAAGGAUUGCUAUGAAAGGUCCAAAUUUACUUUAGAUUGUGAGAUCUUUUCUAACAGAUUUUACAUGCAAGCAAUUUUUUUGCUUGUUUUUGAAAUUAAUUUUCCUCCAAAACUUUAAUGUGGCAUUAUUGUUGAUGGAGAUGAAAACUUUAUGGGGAUUGUUCAUGACAUACAUGGCAAAAACUCUGUGGUAACCAAUUUCUCAGGAAAAAAAAAUCAGCAGAGUCUGUCUAGCUGCCCCUGAACAGGCAACAACCUCUGGGAAUCUUUCUUCUGGGAAACUCAUUUAUUUAAGCAGUCAAAAAAUGAUUGGAGACAUAUCUGUGAAGCAUGUGAAUGGUAGGACCGACAUCAUUCAUUCCUCCCAAGCAAAUUCUCAACAUAAGUUUGGGAGUAGUAAAUUGCUUGCCCUUUUGACUAAUGAACAAUUAAGGAACUGGUGUCCCUGAAAUCGUAGAUCAAAGAUGCAUUUGAACAAAUUCCAUUCACAAGCUGACAUUUAUGGGCCGAAGAAGCCUCUUUUUUUUUUUAAGUAUCCAUCCUCCUAUGUCUAAAACAAACAUAGGUAAUCUCUUGUCGGUGACAUUUAGGCUUGGCUUGUCCAAAGAAAACUGACUUUCUUUUGGACCAAAUCUACCCAUCAUCCAGUCUCAGCAGCCAAUGACAAUGAAAGGGACUUGACUCCACCUGCCAGCACAUGAUUCAGGUUUUGUUUGCAGGAAUUUGAUUCUUCAUGCUGUAAAGAAUUUCAGCACCGUCCAGUCCACAGAGUUUUAUUUUCAUUACUAGGGUGAGCCGACAAAAGGUUAGAUGACAACAAAAUGUUAGUAAAACUGAAUUCAAACUGAUGAUCAAGCCACCGACAAUAAAGAAAAAAUGCCACUGCACAACAACAUUCACAUAGAUGUACACUUGGAACUCAAGUUCUUGCUAUAAUUUCACGUCAGCUGCUUCUUCAAGAAACAGACAAUCACACGGCAUAACAAAAUUACCAAGCCAUUCCCUCUUUCAAUAUAAUAUAAGAAAGUCAUUUACGAGUGGGAAGAGACAAAAUUGAACGCCCGACUGAAUCAUCAAAAUGUGUAGCGUGAUAUGGCUCUCAUACUUAACGUACAAGGCUUAUCAUUGUAUGUAACCAAGACUGCUCAGGUGAAGGAAUGGUGUACAAAUAUAUAUACAAAGGACAAUCUAGAGAUGAAAGUUUAAUGGAAACUACAACCUGAUUAACUAAAUCAACCUCGCAACGGCUACUGCUCUUCAUCCGUUUCUUGCUUCCUCAAUAGCAUCCUGUUCGUUUGGACGCUACUUUCAUAUCCGCUACUGUCCCCUGAUUCAAUCAUGCGUUUUUCCAUCAUCCUCUCUUUCAGGCUGUCACGAUUUGUACGUGCAUGUUCUUUUCCAGCCCUACGUUCCUGAAAUAGCUCAAAAGAAAAGUUAAAAAAUCAGAUAACUGAUUGGUAACAGGACAUGGAUCGUAGAACAAAGAGGGAACAUCGCAAUUUCAAACAGGAAAAUUUACAUGAACUAGUUACCCGGCCAAAAUAUAAAAUGGUGCAGUGUAAAUUUAACUAGUAUAACUACCACCAACUACUGUGAUAAAUUUCAAAAUGGUUUGGUCGCCAGAACAAUAUCUGAUGGCCACAUAUCCAAUGCUAGUAAGAUAUUCCUACAUACGUAUUAUUCACGUGUCCAUGUAAUAAUGAAGUGUAAAGUUUACAAUCCACCCGCUCAUAGCAUGGCAUGACAUAUAAGCACGUAAAAGGCUAAAUGUGUAAUCUCUGUCAUAUAGAUUGUAGUAGUGAAAUAUGUUGCAAUUGAAACCACAAUCCUACUGCAAAGGAAGAGACAAAUGCAUACAGAAGUAAUAUCAGAACAGGUUGCACAGGUAAUUUUGCAUGCCAUGCUUCCCCCCGCAUCAUGAUCCAUUUUUACCUUGGACAUUUAAAUAAAAUUUUAGGCAGAUAAAUGUAAACUUACAUCUCGAAAGGGGAAAUCAUCAGCCUCUAACAUGUGUAUCACAUGCCCCAUCUUGGGCCUCUUCUGAGAAUUUGGGUCAACGCAACGCAAACCUACCAAAAGAGCACGUUUCAACGCUCUUGAGGAAGGCUGCUCGGGUAACUUGGGAUCCAAAACUCCCUCUGCAUUACGGUUGGAAACCAUAGUUUUCAGCCAAUCAACCAGGUUCACCUGCAAGAUUGAAGUGUAAACCAAAAACAAGAUCCAAUGAUCUUUUACAUCUGCCUCGCAAUAUCAUUGACCUUUGAUGAUAAUAAUUAGGUACUAACCUCCCCUUGAGGACGGCUGUAAUCCACUGGGCUCCGCCCUGUAAUGAUCUCCAUGAGAAGAAUACCAAAACUAUAAACAUCACUUCUUUCGUUCAACAUGCCAGUACUAGCAUAUUCUGGAGCAACAUAACUACAACAGAACAAGAAGUUUGUCAAUUUGUUCACUUGGUCAAGAAUUGGCAUUGAUAAAACAACUCAAAGUUGGAGAUUCUACUGACCCAAAUGUUCCCAUAACACGAGUCGUUAUGUAACUCCUCUCAGACCCCAAAAGCUUCGCUAAGCCAAAAUCUGAUACCUUUGCGUUCCAUUGCUUAUCAAGCAGAAUGUUGCUGGACUUGAUAUCGCGGUGUACAACUUUGGGUUCAAGUCCUUCAUGCAGAUAGGUCAGCCUGUAAGCUUCAUCUGCUUAGAUGGGUGACUUAACAUAAUUUGAAGAGCAAGUUUAAAUGGCAGAAAGAAUAGUAGCAGACGUACCCUUUUGCUGUUCCAAGUAUGAUGUUCAUUCGAAUUUCCCAUGUAAGAGGACUGUAAGGUCCUACAUCUCCAUGAAGCCACUGUUCCAAGUUCCCAUUGUCCACGUAUUCAUAUACCAGCAUUCUGAAUUGUAAUUCAAUUACAUCAAAACCAUACACCCAAACAAAAAAAAGCAUAAAUUUAGAAAUAACAAAAUCAGGGUCCUCAAAUUGUUAGAUAUGAAGAAUUUAUAAACUUUCAUGGAAAUUGACAAAGCACAUCACUUUGAAAAAAGCAGGUUCAAUCUCAAGGUCUCCAAGUACAGAAGAAGAAAUUUAAUUACCGGAAACCCUUCCCCCAUCCUUUAACAUAUAGAAUAGAAUGUAACGGAAUAGUUUAAGAGGAGAAACACUGGGGUUAAAAUUACCUAUGAGCUCCUUCAACGCAAUAACCAAGCAACCUAACCAAAUUCUUAUGCCGAACUCGCCCAAUUGCCUCAACUUCAACCUUGAAUUCCCUCUCCGCUUGUCCUCUGAAAACAAAUAUAAUAUGCCCAUUUAAGCACACACAAGGCAGAAAAGGAAAACCAGCUAUUUCCCAAAGCAAAUUAAUAUCUCUUACCGACCUCCAAAUUUGCUCCUGACUGUGAAAUUCAUAUUUGAUCAAACAAAUAUCAAGAACCCAACGGAAAAAAUUAGGUUCACUUCACACAUCACAUAAUUGCCCGCAAGAACAAGGCACAAAUGAAGGUCCAGUAAUCAAAUAAAGCAAGACAUGCAGAUAUCUUACAUUGCAUGGUUCACAUGCAAUCAUUUAUAACAUGCAAUGUCAGUAUUCAUCUUAUCCUAUAACACAAAAAGAUCGAAACUUCAACCAACUGACCUGUUGUUAAGCAAAUUCUUGACAGCCACUUUAGUAUUAUCUUCCAAAACACCUUUAUAAACAAUCCCAUACCCUCCUUCCCCAAUCACAUUCUCAUCAGCAAAUCCAUUGGUUGACUCUUCAAGCUCCCUCAGAGUAUACCAAUGGCCCCAACCCAAAUGGGAUACCUCGGGCACAGCUAUACCCACUUGAUCACCCGAACGGGCCUCCCCACUCCCUUGACCCGACCCGCCACUCCCUGGUCCGACCGUCUCCGGAUAUGCAAUUCUGUGUCCUUUUCCAAUUUCCACAUGAAUUCUCCGAUGCCCAUUUGCGUUCUCAUCCUCCACCACAUGAUCGGGCUCGGGCAACAACGGGUCAGGACCUGGAGCAGGAAGGAGGAGCAGCUUGGUGUCCUGUUCGGGCCGGGGCCUAUUCGGGUCGAUCCGGAUUUCUUGAAUUUCUUUGGACACGUUUGGAAUGGUGGGAUUCUUCUGGGAUGCAAGCCUAGACUUCUUGCUGUGUCUCCUGGAAGUAAACCAGAUGGAGAUAAUGAACAAAAAGAGCACAAUUGCAGCUCCUACACAUACUCCCAGCACAACCCAUAACCGUAACCCGAAUAUUGAGGUCCGUUUUGAUAGCUCAUCGUUCAAAAAUGCUGCCCUGUUAGUAGUAUUAAUUUUGUUAUCAGACAUCUCUGCCUCUACUUCUCUCAAAACCCAGCUCAGAACAUCAGAUUUAUUGCAAGUUAAGAUGGUGAAGAUGACUGAGGAGCAUAAUUGUAUGGGUGUUUUAAUGAAUGGAAGCGGGAUGAUGAUGAAGAGGUGGGGACUGUGGGAGAGUGGAGGGGAGUAGAGUAGAGACAGAAGAAGAGAGAAAGCAGAAAAGGGGGGCAGCUGUACUGAUGGGACCGCUGGGAAUGAUGGAAACUUGAAAGCCCACUUGUUUUGUUUAAUCUUGUGUAUAAUGCUUUCAAUUUUUUGUACUUGUGCCAAAUCCAUUAAUGCCGUGUUAAAUGUGGUGCAGACACUGUAGUCCAAGGUUAAGAUUUUGGUGUUUGUGAUGAUCGUUUCGUUUGGACUUUCGAUUGCUGCGUAAUGUGCAGUGAUAGAUUCCCACAAUUAUCUGAAGAAUCCGGCUGGUUGGUCAUUGGUGGUAGCAUAUACUAACAUUUAAUUCUUUAUCUUUUCCCUUUUUUCUUUUGUUGCUUGAGGAGGGUUUUUUUUUUCAUUUUUCGAAUAAAAAAAAAUGUGGUAAGAGUACUUUUUACAUUAACGUAUAGGUUAGUUGUUAAGAAUCAAUUAUACUCAAAUGUUUUUUCGCUUGUCUUGUUUUCAAAUCUAGUUCCUCUACUUUUUUUUUUUUUUUAAAAAACAAGAGAUUACAGUAGUCUGUUUAAGUGCAAUUGAAGUAGCUACUGCUAUGCGUAUGAAGUAUGUAUCGCCUAUUCUAAAAGACUACCAAAAAAAAAAUCACAAAGGCUUGAUGAUGCAAACCAACCUUUGAUUCAUGUCUUUAAAAGGGUUUUUUUGGACGUUUCAUUUUCAUAUAUUUUCCAUUUUCUGAUACGGUGCCUCUCAUUUACUACUAAUUAAUGAUGUGGAAUUCAAUAGCAUGGAAAGGGAAAGGGUGAUCAAACUCAAAAGGAUUUUGGUGGGGACCGGGCAUUAGUUUAAUUGGCUUUUAAAACUCUUGUGGUUUUUGGUAGUAUUAUUGCCAAGGGAGAUGCCUCUCCGGUCAAUGUCGUGGACCUUCUGAUGGCUUUGUCGAAAGCUUUUUCCUGCCUCUGUCUUAAUUCAUAUUUAGAGAUAGAAGAUAGACCCAACCCAUAUGAACAGAGGAAACUCAGAGUGCAACAGAAACAGCAUAAGGGAAAAGAAGAUGAAGAAGGUUUGUGAGGAUAUCGACAUUGACCCUAAAAACAGCUAUAUACACAGAGUUUUUAUGGUCAGUGAGUGAUGAAAUCAGGUUGGCUUAGUUAAGCUUUAUAGAUGUUCACAUUUGAGAAUUCUCCAGAUCGUUUGUUGCCUUGAUCACAUGGUGAAAGCUAAGCCUAAAAUUCCGCCUGGCAUUCAUUGAGUGGGAGAAUUCAGAUUGUUGGCCACCGACCUAACGCAAUUCUAAAAUUAUCCUUUUAUUUAUGUACCACCAACUACUAGUAGUGGACUCGUAAUUGCAUUUAUGUGGAGGGGAGGGAUAACGCGGUUUUCAAAAGAAAGUAAAUGAAAGAUUACAGUACAGGCUGCUCCUCCUGCUGUUGCCAAUUAUACUUUUGCAUAAUUUUUUCUACCAAAGUGUACACAACUCGGAAAAAAUGAACGGUAAUUUUUAGAAUCUUUUGUUAUAGCAAGCCUGCUCUGUUUUUUCCUGUGUAGACCCAGCCUCUUCGGCUGCUUUAUCUAGAUUGCCCAACUAAUCAUAUUCUGACGUAACCCGAAGAGAAGAUCAAGCGGCGCUAUUUUCAAGUCAUAAUCAUUGCUUAACCAUCUUGAUUUUUUCCUCAACAUCAUUAAGGGAGUUAGGUUCUUCCACUGAACAACAAAAGCAAGUAUUUUGUCAUUGACAGCGCACUUUCCAAGUGCAAGAUGAAAAUAAAAACUAGUAGUAUUAAAAUGGCUCGAAGAAUUCACUUACAAGGAUUUUCCCUAACAAUACAAGUGAAUGUAAUAUUGGAGGGGUUGAAUACUCGUAUCAGGGAAAAGAACAGUCACUAUGUUAAUGUGCGUUUUCAGCAGAAUUAGAUAUUUAACAGUUUAAGUAUACUCGGAAUGUUCAUUUCUAAUUUCUGAGAUGUUCUUCAAAUAAUUAAAAUUUCCUGUAAUUGCCACCAAGCUGAUUACUUGCACACCAUUUAUUCUCGUGGCUACGAAGACACACCUGACGACGAAUUGUUCCCAGAGCGGCUAAUAUCUAAUGGAAACUGCAUCAAAGUAUCCUCCCGGCAGAGAUCCUAAACAUUUGGGGGAAGCUGAUAUCAAUUAUAUAUUGCAUCACACUACAGUGUAUCAAAAUAUUCAGAUAAACAUACCUUUGCAGAUGCCAAAUAAUUGGGAACACCAGGGUUAUUCUGAGCUGAUGAUUGCAAUCCAAAUGAGAAUGCUGAGCUGCUAUUAUUUGUCAUUGAAGCUAUAGCAAGUUGCUGGCUUGAGAUUUUAGGAUUGGAAACCCCAAAUGCUGCUUGCAUUGCAACCUCUUGGUUGCUAGACAAUGUAUGUUUUCCUCCACUUGUAUUUGGCAUCACAUCACCCUCAUUAAAAUCCAUGGGAAGCUGCAUUGGUUGUAGGGAUCCCGAUACAUAGUUUGGAUGGAAACUGAGUCCAUUUCUUAUUGUCAACAUCUGGAAAGCCAAGCCAAGUAAAAACUAUAAGUAGCAGCAGUAACAUGCAUUGCUACCAAAUGACACCCUUCUCUGCGAUACAGAAGAAAAGAUUGCAAAGUUUCCAUGAAAGAAAGCAAAAUCCAUCUGCAAGUAGCCAUGAACAAAAAGCUGAAGUCUACCAAUCUUGCAUACUGCAUUGGUGCAUUCCCAAGCAUAGAAUGAUGGCCUAGAAUAUUACCUCAUCCCCAUCUUUUAAGUACCUCUAGCCAUACGUUUUUUUUUUUUCCAUAUGUUCAACUCCAUAAGUCCACUUUAAAUGUUUCAAACUACUUCCACCUAUAAUGAUCUAUUGACAAAACAGGUAGCUACCAAAAGCAAAAUUUCAUUAGUAACAUGCCACCAGACAAAGAAGACCAUUUAAUAAGAACCUAUAUGAUAGUAACAAUUGACUAUGGCCUCAAAGUUCUUCCCAUGAACAAUAAUAUGUAUACUGGCUUACGAAGUUAGAUUGGUUUAUGUGUUCUUAAACUUGGAUAUUUUUGCUUGCUAGGAGUAGAGUUUAAAAACAAUAGCAUACGGUGUACAGAGAUAUCUCAAUUUCAUAGUCCAGAUUGACUGAACAUACAGGAAGUUCUGAAUAAAUCAUGUCAAGUUUAAGGGGAAAUUUUAUUCUUGUCAAAGCAUACUGACAUUCACAGCUCAAGUUUUGGUAUUAAAGAUGUAAUACCAUUAUUUAAUAUGUGUCAAAUACAAUCAAUACAUUUUUUCCAUUCCCCUUAUUAAGUGUGCAAAAGGCAUUUGCAUAUCGUCAUGCUUAAAUGUCAGAACUCACAUCAGGCUUUAACAUGAUGACAAUCAUCUGCCAGUACAACAAGAAAGUGGUAUCAUGUAACCAUGAAUUUAUAGUGGUGAUAUUUAAUUAAAGAGCAGCACCAAGACAAGUAAAAACCUGAACUUGUAGUUGAAGCUGUUUGAGGUAUUCAAUCGCUUCGUCCAGCAUUGAUGCCUUGUCUGUCUAUCAAACAAAUGAGCCAGAAACAUCAUGCUGAUCUAAGUCAAGAGCUAUGGCAAUGUUAUCUAAAGCUUAAGAAAAAGGAAUCAAUACAGUGCGAGGUAAUAGAUACUUUAUUCGAAUUUGGAAUUAAGUUCUGCAGCGCUUUCAAUUUCUCAUUUAUUCUGCUCCUCCUCCUCUGAGAAUGAAAUCAAAUCAGUUGAAAUGGCGAAAAGAUUGCACAUUUUUGCAACAAAAUUUUGAACUUUAAUUUAAAGCAGAACCUUUUCAGACAAAUUAUGAACUUCUGCUGAUCUACUCCUUUUCGUGGAACGCGGUUGAGCCUGGUUAAUUGCUGCAUCUGAAGCCUCCAAUCCCUACAAAGAUAAACAGACGUCAGCUACCACAAUAUUGGAAGUUCAUUUAAGUACCCCCUCACCAGCAGGGGGGGAAUUGAAAAAAUAAAAAAGGAACACAGAUUAAGAGACUAAUUUCCAUAAGAUUUCAGCAUCCACAGAUACUGAUCAGCUGGUAAAGGAGCAAAAAAAAUUUUUUUUUUUUAAAAAAAGGUGAAAUUAUCAAUUUCAGUAGCAGAAAUUCAAAUAUCGAAACUGAUAAUUCAGGAAUUCAACACUAAUUUAAUCUAAACAAAUGAAAGGAAAAAAAAAAAAAAAAAAAGCAAACUUUCAUGAAAAAAAUGUCAAAUUUGUACGAUUCUGCUAAAAAAAAGCUCAAAUCACACUGAUAAUGACAUGCAAAUUUAACGUCGAAAUCAAGAAAAAGCAAAUGUUUCAAUCCUAACCUUGUUUGCACCGGAAAAUUCUCCCCUAUCCAUCGAAGAAGUGACAGCAUCACAAUCUCCAGCGGCAGCUAAAGAAAAAGUCUUCUCAAGUCUCCCCUUCACCUCUCCGGCGAAGAAGCCGCCGGGAUCGGAGAAAUCGAAGCUAGCAGCGGAGGAGGAAUUAAUCAUGGAAGCGGAGCCCCGAUAAAGAGAGCUACUUCCGGCUGUCGCCGGUGAAUUCUGGAAAAGAUUAUGAAGAAACACAUUCAUAUCUUCCGGUUCGGGCGGUCCGCCGGGUUCGGAGUCGGGCUCAAACGAAGAGCGAUCAUCAGUUCCGUACGGAUCCGACAUAAAUUGAAAAUUUUUUUUCUUCCUUAAACGGAGGAAAUUGAAUUAAUUCGACAAAACUGAACUUCUUGUUUUGUGAUACUUGUGUGAGUGAGUGUGUCUUUUAAGUCUGUGUGUGUGUGUGUGUUGUUAGGACUGUCAAGUGUGUGUGUGUGCUGGGCAGAAGUAGAAGUGUAAUGUUGAAGGGUAAAGGCCGGGGAAGAUUAGGGAGGGAGAUUUUGAUUAGAGUGGUAAUCAAGUUUGGUUGUUCUCCCGCCUUAAUUGUAGUUCGGACCAAAAGUACCUCGACUUUUCUCUUGUUUGCAGAGUUCCCCUCAAACUUGUUAUAGUCAUGACAAGAAUUUUACUGCUACUUUUUUUUUUUUUUCUGGUUUCUUGGGUGGGGGGGGGGGGGGGUUCUAUUAGGUUUGAUUUAUUUUGUUUUCGUUAACAAAAAUAUAUUUUGAGGCUAUAAAAUCAUAUGUAAAAAAUCCAGAUGUUGAAAUUACAUGUAUUCAAACUUAGUUUUAUUUUAUACGGUGAAUAACCAUAAGUAGCCUAUCCAAAUAAAUAAAUAAAUAAAAAGCACAUAAGUAAGCAUUAAAACUAAAUGGAUUUAAAUUAGCCAUAUAAGAGCUUUUUGUGUUUCCACUUUUUAUUAUGUUGUUAAUGCUAUGUUUGGAUUGGCCAUUUUUUCAAAAACAAGUUUUUUAAAUACAAUGUUACAGUAAUACAUAAUAAUUCAAAAAAUAUCCUAUCCAUACAAUAUAGCAAAUAUUUCAAAAAAUUUUCAUAGUAAAAAUUUUUCAUAUACACUGUUACAGCAAAAUUUUCCAAAAACACUCGCAAAAACAACUGAUCCAAACGAAAAUUUUUCACUUCAUUGAGAAUUGGGAUUAACAAUUAAUAUGGAGUUUUUAGUGAACAUGGCUCUUGAUUAUGAAAUUAUAUUUAAAUACUUUAGAGAGAAAGUAGGCAGGAGUUAACAAGAUGAAACAAGUCCGUUCUUUUUACUCAUCAAAAGUUAAUCUCACGACAAGCAUUUAAAUUUAACUUAUUGGUGCCUGUAAAUGUAAUCUUUGGUAAGUGAAAAUACAAGACGAUUGACCGUACUUGAACCAAAGAUGAAAGGAUUCCUCAAUCAAUCAGGACAAGAAUCUUGGAUGACAUUUAUUAAUUCUUUCUUAGAUUCCAACAUAACAUCCAGCUUUUAAGUUUUUCUUUUUCAUCCCUAAUGAAUAAAAUGAUUGCUAGUGUGGUUGGACAGGCUGUUGAGGUUUCAGAAUCUACUGCUAUCAAACACUACUAACUACUGGCAGUAGACAGUAGUAGAGGAUUGAAUCAUCAGCCCUCCGAGUUGUUGGUAAAAAAGAGACGACUGGGAAUAAAUAAAUAAUACUCCCUCCCUUUUCUUUUGUAACUGACGUUUAAAGUUUUGCCCACUAAUUAAGAAAAGUUUUUUAUUACUUAAAUCUGUACAUUAUUUUUCUUUUAUACCCUCAUUAAUUAUCCAAUUUAUCCAUAUUUUCUCACGUUAGAGUACUAAAUGGUGCUGUUUUACUAGGGCUGUUACAAAGAGAGAAGCAAUAAUUACUAGGAGUAGUAAUUAAGAACUCUGUAUUGAAAAAAAGAGAUAAAAGGAUAAAAUUGUGAAAAAAUAAUUAAUACUAUAUAAAAAUAAUAAAAUGACAGAUAAAAAUAUACUAGACCAAACUUCUUAAACGUUAAUUAUAAAAAAAAAGGGAGGGAGUACGUCGUUUCAUGCAAUUUUACCCAUGUCUAAAACUCCAACCACUUACCAUAGUUUUCAUACAAGCUUUUAGCUUAAAAAAAAAAAAAAAAAGAGGAGCAGAUUGGAGGAUGUCUUGAUUAUUAUUGGCCGAAAGUGCCCAAGUCAGAGAGCGCCUCUUUCAUUUUCCUUUGUUGAGAACCUGAUGAGAUUGGGUUAUCCAGCAGGAUCGCCACCUUAGCCAGAAACUGAAAUCAUAGUGUAUUUAUUACUGACAUUUUGGUAUUCCCGAGGUCAAGUCUCUCUCUCUCCUACAUCUCUGCCUCUCUCUCUCUCUCUUUUCUUUUUAGUGGUAUUUGAUCGGUUGCGUUGCGUGUGGAAAAUCUGAACCCCACAGCCAGGAAAAACCUCUACACUCCAAGCAAAUUAGUAUACUCUAUCCAUUAAUUUAUACUCCUAGUAAUAAUAAUAGACCCCAUCCCAUUAUAUAUAUUCCCAUAUGCUUGUUCUGUUAACCCUCCAAUCUAUGAAUUUUCCAAACACCAGUGCCAUGUCUUUAUGGGAAGGAUAGGAAUGACGACUGGAGUUGCGAAAAAGCAGUUUCCAUUUGUUUAAUGGAAGCAUGCAAUUUCUGACAUUGGAAACAAGCCACCAACCCCCUACUCCCACCUCACCAAAGUGGAAUUCCCAAUUCAUGUGCUCAUGGAAGCAUCAGAGAGACAAUCGAGCCAUCUUAUCUUCUUCUUCUCUUGUCUAAAACGGCAUCUUCGUUUAAAUGGUUUAUCAAAUUGUACGCUCCACAAGCAAAAUGUACCGCUCCACUAGCUUCCAAGACAAAAAUGGAAACCUCCACCCUGCCCUGUAUUGCUGAUGAUCUUCUCUGCUUUUGCCCAGCUAAUGAAGUGGUUGGUUUUUUAGGAACCCACGGAAAAUUUAUCUUCAUUGCACAAGCGUCCUCCAAUUUGAAGGAGCUGUUCAACCAAUUUCACUCCCUAAUGAUAUGAUCUGAUAGGAAACUUGUCUGUUAGUUGUCAUGCAUAAGAGAAAAAUUGUGAUGCACUGAUCGUUUUGAUUGGCCCUUAGAAUUAUGGAGCAUCUCCUCCUCCCCGAGCAUCUGUGGCACGUUACACACACUUUCUUGGAGGGCAUUCCAACCAAUGCAUUGAUAAAACUCUCAGACGAAUAAAGGAAAAAAAAAAAAAGGCAUUUAGUAGAGGUCACCGAUCUCCCAAAAGGAAAUCCAAGGAAGGGUUGUGAAGAUGAUGAAAGAAUGAAUGUUCAUCAUCGCCUCAAACCUCUUCUUUUCCUUUCCGACCUCUUAAACGAGAAGAGCAACAAAUUUCCUCUUUUCAUAAUUUCUGCCCUCUUCAUUUUCUUCACUAACAUCGUUCCCCUAGCAACUUCAUUUCUUUUCUUAUCCUAUUGAGCAAGUGAUGGACAAUCUAAAAUAGUGGGAGCAAAAAGAAAUCAUAAAUUCCGGAAAAGCCUUGUACCGUAAAAGGAAAAAGACUUCAACUUCCAAUAAUCAAUUGAAUACCUAAUGAAAAUGUCAAAACAUUCGUUCUGUUUAUACUUGUCUAAAACAAUCGAAUCAGUCCACAGUAGCAUAAGAAGAAAAUACAUCCCUGGAAGUUUUACAAGGAGCGGGCAGAGGGAUGUAUAUGAUCUGCUCAAACACUUCUGAGAGCCAAUCGCCCCAACUCUUUCAGAUGGAGGCAAUUUUUAUUGCCCAGAAUAAUUGGGUCUUAUUCAUUUAGCCAGUCCCGUUGUUUUACAAAUGGGACAUAAAUUCUUGUGUGUAAGCCAUUGUUUAAUACACUCGGCAUGAAAAUCAUGCCCGCAGUCCAGAGAACCAAGAUCUUCACCAUCACUAUAUUCUUCCUGCAAAUAACAAGGUAGGUAGAACUUGAGGCCCCGCUUAUAAGAGCCAUAAAACUGCCAAAUCAACAGCAAAAGCAAAAAUCGUAUCUUGCAGAAACCCAGAAUGCAAAGACUUGGAUGGUUUACCUGACAUACACAGCACGGCUCUGUUUCAACCUCAACUGUUUUAUUGCUUACAUACUUCCGUUGUUUCAACUGCUUCAAAAUGGUUUCUUCACUCAAACCAGUGCUCACAUUUCCAAUACGCUCUUCUAAUGCCAAUAAUUCCUGUAAGGGUGCAGGAAAUGAAGUUCUAAGAAUGUGCAGCAGAAAGCUCAUGAUACAAGAUCAAGAAAUUACUGUCUAGGUCACCUCAUAUGACAUGUUAUCAACAUCAAGCCGCAUAUCCCUAUGGCGAUCAUGAAAAUCAGCCAUCCCGAAAAAGACUGAUUGGUCAAGAACCAUGACAUCCUGUCACAAUCAAAAACGUUCAUCAAAUAACUAAAAACAAUACAUUGAGCUUCUCACAAUCUACUGCCCAAAAACUAGACAAGACAAAACUAGCUUGCCUUGCAUGUGCCACAAAAAGGAGGACGAAGCAGGAGUACCAUUCUCAUGGCACCUCACCCUUUUAUACAAGGCAUCAGUCACCUUCUAAAAGCUGAUGCAAAUUAUUUUUUGAUCUAUCAAGAGUAACAUUUUGAAGUAUCAAAAUGUCACCUGUUAGUGUGCAUCUAAAGGAGUGCGCACAAUCUUCUAAAUUUCUGCUAUCAAAUAUCUAGGUUAUUGUCCUGUGCUAUUUUUUGCACAAACUACAAAGGUGAUUUCUAUCCAAUUAAACAUUCAAUGUAGCCUGCAAUUUGCUGUCUUCCACAGGACAGAGAAUGAAUACUUAAUCAACCAGAGUAUCACUACAAAAUGCCGGAUAAUCUAGGCAAAGCUUGUCUAUUUAUACCUAGAAAAUUAUCGUAGCAAUGUAAAAAUACAAAAGCUUUCAAUUAAUGUCAAAAUCUAACCUCAAAUCGCAAGCCCUCUCCUCCCCUGCGCAUGAGAUCCAAGACAUUGCGUAUCUGCUAAUUAGCCAAAAAGAAAACACGAUUAUUGACAUUUAUAUGAUGAUAUGCCAAAAAAAUAAGGAAAUCUUCAUCAUGUUUGAACGAUUCAGCUGCAACAAAGUGCCUUAAAGGCAAGAGUGCUAUCUGGAGAUACAAUCACAACAUUAAGUGCCAAGAUGAAAUUCAAUAGAUAACUUGCAGAAAAGAAAAAAAAUCAUAUCAGAGUUGUUAACCAUAGUUUUAAAAUAGGAAAUUUAACAGACUUAAAUAAUAUACUAAUAAACUUCCGGAAAAAGAUGGCUAACAAUUAAGAAUAUUGGAAAACAAACGGGAAAAGAAAAGAACAAAAAAGUAAAGCAACAUGAUGUACCUCAGACAUUAGCCUGUUUCUUCCUUCACUAGCAGCAGCCAAAUUUCUUAAUGAAUAAGAUCCAAAAGCAGUAUCAAGGUGUCUCUCCAACAAAAUUGCUGACCUUGAACUUGCUGCAUGGCGUCCCUGACUACCAGAUCCAGAUGAAAGUGGCAUGUCUUGGGAGGACGAGGGACCUGUCCGCAGUGAAGGAUAAUUGCUGCUGUGACCUCCAGAAUCGCUAUCAGCUGAAGAUGAGGAAGAUCUGCGAACAAAUUCUGAUAGUCUCCUUGGAUACUGAGAAGGAUUCCGAGGGGGUGUCCAAGUAGGGGUAGAUGAGUGGACAACUGCACUAGAGCCAGUGCGGGAAGUUGAUGCAACGUUUCCAGGAUUACCACCGACACUUCCGCCAGCUAAACUCCAAUUAGGAGGGUUUUGUGAUGAAUUUCUUAUCUCCGUUGGUGGUACAAACAUGGGAUGUUCUGAAAUGUGCCUUGCCACACUGGAUGAACUAGACUCCUCAUAUGGUACAGCAUCUAUAUCUCCAGAAAUGGCAAAACUAGAUGAGCUUCCAGUUCUUGAGCUAGAUGCUCCAUUCCACCUGGAAUGCGGGUUUCGGCGCACAGAUGACACAUGCACUACAACUGACUGACCUUGAGAACUUCCACUGUCGGUCAUAGAUGCAGGUCUAAGAUCCAAAGAAUUAUUACGGGGGAGCAACCUAAAUGAAUGCUGAGCAGAUGAACUAUUAGGAUUUCCAACAUCAGUCUCAGUGGAGACUAUAUUAUUGCGUGAAGAAUCUUGUUGAUGUGAGGCAUUUAUCCUCAAGCGAAAAUUUCUGCGGGAACUCUCUGCAGUUCCUGAAGCAGUUAAUGGAGGAUGACUAUCAGAAGAUGCUCGUCCAACACUUAAUCCGAGUCUCGGGAUUACCUGCCCUGGUAGAUUGACCGUUGAGUUGUUUUCUGAAGGGGCAGCUAUACCUGUGCUGCUGGAUGCAUUAUGCCUAGCUGGUACUGAAUGAAAUAGAUUGCUCUCAGCAUGUUGAACCAAGUUUGAACUUCCACUCCCAGAAGAUUGUCCAGCAUUUCCUUCCAGUGUUUUUCUUUUACACGAAAACCUUCGACCAUCCAAUGAACAGCCAGGCCUGCCAUCAGCUUCCUCCACCAAAAAUCCACCAGUUCCAGAAGACAUCCCAAAAGGAUUGGAAGAAUUACUAGCAGAUAGCAUCCGCUCAUUCACUGAUUCACUAGCUUUGAACGCAUUUUGACAUUCCAAAACUUGGCAAUCAUCAUCCUCAUCUACAAUAAUAUCUGAGUUCAUAUUCAGAUCCUGCCGAAUGGAUUCAGAGCCUGAAUUUUGCAUAAAGAAAGUCCCACUUGCACCUUCAUUGCUGUGCAUAUUUACACCAACAUUAUUUAAUGAAAGAAUAUUAGAGGGCCCAUAUUGCUGUCCUUCUGCGCCAAGAGCUGCACCAGCACAAACAUUUAUUGGAGAUGACCACCCAUGUUCAUUUUUCCGAUCAGUUUCACUAACCUCGCCUUGUUCCCCUCUAGAACUACUUUCACCGAAAUCCCAUCCACUUAAAUUCUGCCCUGGUUGGUUCACUGUAUUUAGAAAUCCAACACUUGUGUCUGUCGGCGACAUCAAAUAAUCAGGUAUCCUGUUUUGUGACGAAUUCCUUAUGCUAUUCCAGUGCACCUGCUGGUCUAAGCUAGUAUCGCUUGAUGUUGAUCCAUGAUCAAUGCCUAAAACUUCAGGUAAGGAACCAACAGCACUCCUUUGCCCUUGCAUUAGGGCUGAAUGUGCUUCUUCAAGAUUUCUGAACAGCUCCAAAAAAUGCUUACGCAAACAGAGCUCAGAAAGCAGUUCUUCAGGUAAUCUGAGAUUGUCAGUAAACAAAUUCACAUGAUUAUGAUUUGGCCAUAAAAGAGAAGCCAAAGAUAAGAGAUAAUACAACAGCAGAACUGGUAUUGCAGAAUGACGUUAAAUACAAAGUCUUUCAGUGCCACCACAAAAAUGUAUGCAUCUAACCACUAAGAUGCUUUUGAAAAAUUAUGUACUAAAUGUGGUUUGUUACAGACCUUAACUGCCAGCAUUCUAUGACCAUGCAGUCUUACCAUCAGCAUUCAGAUUACAGAACACAAAAUCAGAAUGCCAGCCUCACCAUUUCAGUAUUUGUUGCAGAACACUGACAGUGAAACAUGCCGGUGAAGGUUUCAUGCAUGCCAGCCAAAUGUUCUAACUUUCAUGACAUAAAAACUUUACCGCACCUAAAAAGCAAUGCAGGCAUGCAUUGUUCAUUGGCCUCGAGCAAAGCAUUGAGAUAUCUAGGUAUGUGCUAAAGGUUUGUUAGUCUGCUAACAACAGUAAGGUUGAUUACAACCAAAACUCUUGAAUGCAAGUUGCAAAUAUAUCAUUCUUCCAUCAUCCCAACAACUUGAAGCAAAAAAAUGAGGAUACAAACUUAGCUAACCUAGCAACAACUUAAAGCACGAAUAUGAAUUUACAAGCUUUUUGUUCUGAUAUCCCAAUCUUUACACAAAAGAGAAGACACAACGAAGAAUCACCAACCAUAAAAUGACAUUGCACUAAAGCGUUACUUAACAAUAUGAUCACACCCGAUGUGUAAAUAGACGAAGAAAUUAAUAAAAGCAAACUGCAUCAAAAAUAGAUUUUUUGUAGAUAAUAAAACUAGGAAGAUUCUAUUAUUAUUUUUCUUGGAAAAGCCUUAAAAUCAUUAAUCAAAAUGGAUUGGUCAGAGAAGAAAACCACCCAGAAUCAGCUCUCAAUCCAACCAUCAAUGAGUCAAGUACCAAAAGUCAUAACUUUUUUUUUUCAAAAUUAUAGGCAUUUGCUCUGAACAAGAAGUAUUUGGAAACAAGAAAGAUGCAAGGAAAUGAAACGAGGAAAAAAAACUAGAAAAUAAUAAAAAUUAUCAAAAAGUCAAGAAUCAAUAGAGGAGGAUGAACCAAAAAAUGGUAUGAUUCUAUUACCUAGACCAAAAAAGAAUAGCAGCCCAGAACGAACAGCAACCAAGACUGGAUUUUUAUCAGACAAACAGCAGCAGAUUAAGCUGUAGAUCUACAGUCAAGACCUGAAAUGCAAAAUAACCGCCAGAAAUCAGCGCUGUCAAACAAAAAUAACAAAAAAAAAAACAAUCUUUCCAUCCAAAUUUAAGAUUCUUUUUCCUCUAUCGGCCACAAAGAAAACAAGAUAUUAAAAGAAAAAAAGCCCAAAACAGACAGACCUCACUGCUGAACAAUCUGUGAUAGAUGAAGAGAUACAGAUGGAGAAAAGGAGAGAGAUAAGAAUAAAGAGAAAAGGUUUUGUAAGAAGAAGAUGAGGAAGAAAUGGUGGGUUAUGGGUGUGAAAGAGGAUGGAAGAGAGAUGGGUGUGCUAUUAGCAUUUAGCAUUGGGGGGGUAGAAUAAUGAGGCUGAUUAAAGCCAGACCAACAGUAAUCCUUUGCUAUUUCAGUCAAUUAUGCAUUUUUGACAUUUCAGAAAAUUAAAAAGUCAUGUUAAUCACGAUCAGAAGCAACUGAAUUGAAUGCAAGAAAUGUCAAGGAUGGAAAAUGAAAUGGGACAUGAGAAAGAAAAUACUACUAAUAGAAAUCGGUAUUCGGUAAGGCAGUGGCAGUAAUAGUAGCGGUAGAAAACAAAACCAAAAACUGAAAAGAAAAGAAAAGAAGAAAAAGGAGAGGAGUUGUCAUGUUCAUGCAUAUGUGGGUUAAAAGGCCGCUUACCAAAUGGCUUUUUUUCCUCAUGUCUGAUGUCUCCCCUCUCUUUUUCUAUUGCCCUUAAACGUUAAUCGCUGUCUUGAAAUUUAAAGCUCUUCUUUCAAGGAAGGGGUUGGAGGGCUGGACGCCUAAAGCCUAAAGGGCAUAGUACGAGUACUAUAGUUUAAUAAGAGCAGUAAAUAUUUUGGUUGAAUGUUGAAAUGUUUUUCUUUUUUGGUUGGUCUUUUCUGUCAACUCAACUGUGUCUCCCCAAUGCAUCUCCACGCCGAGCAGCUGGCCCCUGUUUGGCAUCUCAUAAUCACAUGUCCGUCUUUGCACUUCGUUUCUUUAAAUUUAAAGGCCUAAUGAACCUGCUUCUUGGUUUCACACUUGUGUGGGCUGUGGCAGUCUUCUUUUUUUUUUUUUCCUCUUUUCUCUUGGGAGGUGUUUUUGUGGUGGUGGUGGGGGGUUUUGGGGGAGGAGAGGGGGGAGUGGUUUUUCUUCUUCUUCUUUUUUGGUUCUUUAAAAAUCGUGUUUGGUGAAACUAGUGGAAUCCUAUUAUUAUGUUACCACGCUUGUUUUCAUAGUUUAAUUGUUCAUUUUAAUGCUGAAUUAACUCUUGCUCUGCUCUGCAAUACUUAAAAGAUAAGAAAUGUAUAAACAGCGAGGAUACAAAUUCUUAGGUCUUGUUUGGAUUGCUAUUUUCCGUCAAAAAAUUACAUCGUUUUUCGUGAUCACAUUUCCCUAUUACUUUUUUCCCUCACAUAUAUCAAAUCGCUACAGUAAUUUUUCUAUGAAAAAUCAUGAAAAAUGCAAUCCAAACACAACCUUAGUCAAUUAGACGUGAGAAUCAGCUGUAACGUAAUCUUUUCCUGUAUGCACUAAACUCUAAUGAACGAUACCAUCGAAAGCAACUAAUCGUUUAACAAAUAUAUUAAUUCAUUCGAGAGUAGGUGUAAGUAGGAAAUUUUAAAUUUUUUUUUUGUUUCAAAUAUAUUAAUUCAUUCGAGAGUAGGUGUAAGUAGGAGGAGAUUUUGAACUUUUUAACAAGCUUUGAUUGAGUUGAAUCAAAUAAAUACGAAAUGGAGGUCUCCUUUUUCCCUUUCAAAUUGCUGUAUUCGAACAAUCAAACCAAUAGCAGUACUAGGAAACGGCUGGGUGCUCCCAAUGACACCAAGAGGAGAACGAAAAGAAUGGAAUGCGUCUCCAAUUAGCUCAUUCAAAUUUGUCAUUUUUUUUAUUCAAAACACGUGAAAAGCAUGGCAAACUAGUAUCAAUUUAACACAACUAAACAGCUUCUUUUCUCCAGCACCUUAACGAAAAAUUAGCGUACAUGAGUACAGGGUGCAUACCAUGAUUUGUGGGGGUAUUUUCCAUGUUGUGCUCAAUUAUCACAACUUGAGUAAUGGAUUUUAUCUUAAAGGAAAGAUAAAUAAUAUACAUUAUUGUAAAGUCGAAAGAUAAGCGGCACUUUAUUCAUAUGUUAAUUAUCGAUUCAUUACUUCAACGCCCUUGGAAAGAUUUAUUUGUUGUUGAAUUCAUUGAAAUCACACCUACAUCUUAGCAAAGUACUCAAAAUUUAUAUUUCUUUUUGUUCAUAAGCGUCAGCUUAUCAAUUAUUAGUAAUUAAAUUAGUCUUAAGGACACAUAAAAGCCCAAAAGGAAAAGAACAAAGAGAAGGAAAGAAAAGCGGUGUAAACUGAAGGAUUUGGUCACAGUAAAAAUUGUCUCGUUACAAAAAACGAUAGAUACCUGCAAGUAUAUAUAAAUGGUCCAACCUUGUUAUAAUAUUUAAUUUUAAGAUUAAUCUUAGAUCAAUGGAUCUACGUAAUAUUUGAAUUUAAAAUUUAACCUUUUUUUAUGCUGGCAAUGUAUAUGUCGCAAGUCAGUAUGUAUGUAUAAAAGAUCUUCUCUUAAUUUUGACCCGCAAGUAAGUAGGCCGCAAGGCAGCUCCUAUAAUCUCACCAUACCACGCAAACAGCUGCUGGGCACGGCAGCAACGUCGCAUCAUCCAAGCCUAGUGGUAGUGGGGCUCUUUAUUCUUCUUCCAAUUCCAAGUCUUUGGUUCUAUAAAUAUGCUCAUCCUCCUUUCCUUCUUUCCUUUCUCUCUCACACUCACCGCCUCACCUCUCUAGUCUUUGAUUUCUUUCUUCUUUCAAUCAAAUUCAAAGGUGGGCUUGCUUUGCUUUGCCUUUUUCCUUUGUGUUUUGUAUUGUUGGGUUUAGGUCACAAGUCACGAGACAGAAAAGCAUAUUAGCAAUUGCCCAUUAGCAAUUGGCAAUUAGCAAGCUUCCUAUCUUUUUCCAAAUGGUCUACUCAAACCACCCUUGCCUAACAAAUAUAUAUAUAUAUAUAUAUAUAUGUUACAUAAUUACAAGAGGAUAAGUGUGAUUCCAUUCCCUGCCCAGAAGAAGGAUGAGAGUCUAUAAUGCGAUGAAAUUUCCCGUGAGAUUAUAUGCUUGUGAGGUCAGACAAGGCUGCUGUUAGCUUUAGUGUUAAAUAACUUGUACAUGACAAAUUUUGGAGGUGCCGACAUGCGCCCAACCAUAUCAAGCUACAGGCAUCAUCUCAUUUGGUGGCACAUCCUAAUGUCCAUCACUCUUUUUAUCUCUACAUAAUUUUCAUUACUUUCUGGGUCAAAACACUACUCUAUGAGUCUAUGGCCUAAGCAAAACAUCAAAAUCUACUGAUUAAUCCCAUUAACAAUCCUCCAUUUUUUUUUUUUUUUGCUGCAUAAUAAUACUCUUCCUACCAAACAUUUUAUGUUGUUCAUGUAUGUGUACAGAAACGCUUUUCUAAUUUUCCAUUGCAUUUGUUGUGUCUUAAAGCAAACAAAAUCUUACUGCUUACCUAUUACCUUACGGCAAUAAAUACAAGACAAAAACUUUUCAUUUCGCUCCGUUUUCAUUAGGCAAAAGUAGUUUCCACGCAAGAAUAGGGUAAGAGUGAUGAUAAACGCCUCUAUUCUAUAGUAUAUUUCUAUGGGAAAGGGCAAAAAAAAAACACACACACACACACACAGAGACAGAGUGGAGCAUCAAUCUAUUCUAUGGGUCAUUAAGCAAGAGUUGGACUUUUUUGCGUACACUGUGCUGUAGGAGGAGUCAUAAAAUCAAAGGGGUCUGUGUUGGUCUACAAUUAUGGGACCCAAUCCUUCUAUCAAUUUCUCCUGUCUGAAAGGUAGGUGGUGCGGUGGCUCAAUUUAAUCGUGAUGGCAGAAGCUUUAUGAGUAAUGACCCUCAGAAUUUUGGGUCUACAAUGACACAAGAAUUGGAAUGACCCACCCAAUUUUACGUGUGUAAAAGCAUACGGGUUUGGUUUGGGGUGGGGUGGGGUGGGGCAAUAAUAAUAUGGCUGCUCAAAACCGAAGGCAGUGAUGAUGGAAUUGCAUAUUUCGCACAGCUGCGGGUUAUGCCUAUCGACCGGCCAAAAAAAUGGGUAACAGAUCAGAUUUUGGUGUCCAAGAAUAAUAAUCAUAACACUGACUUGCGGAAAGAUGACAAAAAAAACCCCUGAAGGAAUCAUCAGUGUCUUAUAGCUACCACCACGACACAUUAUGACAACAUGUUCAUCUCACUCCUUGGAAGGGGCCACUUUUUUAUGGUUUUGAUAAGCGCUAAAAGUGUGAUUAUGUGAUGGUUUUCUAAAGAUCAUCUGCUGCAGGCGACAUGAUCUUUUGUAUUUUUCCACCCCAAGAUGGGGAUAUGAUAUGUGGUAACACGAUCAAGAAACAUGAUCCACAAGGCAAAGGGUAUGAACUCCUGAAGAGAGUCUUUUGAGAAUUCAGGAGGAGGAGAAAAGGACAGAAAAGAGGAUGACGAAUGAAGGGAUGCGCCAUUUAUUGCUUGUAGCCGCGGACAGGUGCAGCAUGCAUCGUGAAAUGAAGGAAAUGUUGCAGCAACAUCAAUAAUGAUGCAGUCACUAGCGGAUCAUGCAAAGGCCAAGGCCGCUCCGUAAGCCUCAUUUCCUGUUGUUUUUGCUUGUGAUUUGCAGGAGGACAAAUGAUUGUUUUGAUCGUGCUUUAUGGAAAAACAAAAUAAAGGUCAAAAGAUGGCACACAGUAAGAAACAACACCGGAAAGGGGUGGACGCAAAAAAAGCCAAGCCAAGUACUUACAACUUGGUAAGAGAUGAGAGACUCAAAACAUAAAGCAGGCAGAACAGAAAAGAAAUGGCGCCUCACAUGAUCCUUGGGUCAUGGAAUUCAAGCUCGCUCCUUUCCGCUCCACGGACAAAAUACUAAAACAGUAGCAAGUAUAUCAUGUUUUCCUGCGUCUUUUUAUCGAUUCCAAGUCUUGAGCCAUGCCUCUCAUCAGCCAGUCACUAAGUGAAACCGAAAUGCUGGCUCACUCUUUAUCAUCAUGAGAGAGACAACUAGUGGCUGCCCUGCUGCAGGUCUCCUAAGGAAAGGUGGCAAUACUAUCUUGAUCUCCAUCAAUUUCCCUGUUCAAGUAACAACCUGAGUAAAAUCCUAAGCAAGUUAUCUGACAUCCAAGCCACGUCCUGGAUCACGAAAGAUGAAAAUUGCAGCCUCAGACUGUCACAAGUUUUGACAAUAACAACAAUACAAGCAUCAUUAGCCAUGACAACUACAUCAUCUCUCAGGCUAACGUACAAAAAUUCAAGCUUUCCCUUUGAACUUGCUGAUGUUAUCUUAGCGAUUAAUUGGUGUGUGCAUCCUUUCAACUAUCCUAUUUACGGCAUCACGAGACAUCACUAGAGUGUCGUGCAACAAAAUGCUAUAGACAUUCAAUCCCUGCAAAAACCAAAAGUCAAAAAAAAAAAAAAUCAGAACCAGACUAAGUGCUGGAGAAGAAUCACCUCGAAUAAAAUCCAAAACAGCCUGUCACUACUGAAACAGGGUGGCAGAUUAUCAAGGAAAAAUACAAUUUAUUUCUACAUAAAUUACCAUCCACAUUUUUGGUAGACAUUUGAACUCUACUGAAACCAUGAAAUGGCUAAUGGUUGUUCAUUAAUAACAUAACAGGAAAAAUAAUCUAAAUCUUCUUGAAAAGGAAUCAGUAUUUGAAAACUCAUUGAAAGGUUAUGAUCUUCUUGAAAAGGAAUCAGUAUUUGAAAACUCAUUGAAAGGUUAUGGCAAAGAUAAUUAUAAAAGCGUGAUUGAUGAGUAAUUCCAUAGUUCAUCUGAAAUUUUAAAAAUUUGAUAAAUUGCAGUUCAUCUUUCAGAUGUGAAUAGUAAGCAGGAAUUACAUCCAACAACAAACUCACGAGGGACAAAUCAAAACUAAGUUGAUACUUACAAUUGAAGGAAGAACAUUGACAUAAUGUAUAUUUUGGGUAGCAAGCUUCAGCUUUUCGUUAAUUGCAUCUCCAUCCACCAGCAGAAGUUUCUUGGUAUCCACCAUUAGAUUAUAAUAGCUGACAACAUUUUUUGUCUUAUGUGAAGGGAUCUCUAAAUCCUCAAAAACCAUAAGCUGUGGAUAAAGAACCAUACGAUGUCAAAACUAAUAUAAUUAGAUGAAUGGGUGAACAUAAAGAGCAUAAGCUGGAAAGCUAUUCCUCAUCCUAAAAGAAAUGAUAAAUGUUAUCAUUUCCAUGGGAGAGGGAGGUAGAAAGGCCAAAACAACACUGGAUAAAUGUAGCCACACUAGAACAGAAGUACAAGCUUUAUAAUAGAAGAUAAAUCUCUUAAAAAAUAUAAAAUCUUCAAAUGAAAGAGACUUAAAUCCUCAAGGGCUUCCAGGUUAAUAGUUAAUUAAAAGUAGAAAUGACAAUUUUCCAGACUCCCAAAAUUCGCAAUACUCUACAAAUUCAGUCAAAUACAACAAUCUGCCUUAUCUAACAUAUCUCGAGGUAUCAGUGCUCAGAAAGGAAGGCUAGUGUGUGUGCUAACUUAAUCCGGGAGGAAAGCCUCAAUAAGGUUUUUAGCAGGUUAGUGCUGUUGUAUAUCCCAGUAGUUACUUCUCAAUUGCAACGGAAUUGCUGUUUAACAGAUGAAAAUACUUAUAUGGCAACUUGAGGGAUAAACAUCAUCGGUAAACAAGUCCAAUAAUGCAAUCAGAACAGAAUAAAGUACCAACAAUUAAUAUGAUAAAGAAGCUCUAUUUUUCACUAUUAAUGUUGGUGUACUCCUAAUUCUAGCCGGAACUCUAUCCUAGAAAUCAAAGAUGUUACAAGAUACAAAUCAUCCAGUUAUGGCCAAAAUAUUUAUGCACUACAAUGAAAGAAAAUUAUAAAGAGGCAUAUAAAAUUAUCCAGAUAGUCUAAAGCAUGAAGCGAAUGGCUUUGCUCUGAAAGACUGGGGGUUUCUUUUUUAAAAAAAAUGGACAAAGGGUUCUUUUUUCCCCAGACAAUUAAAUCAUCAUCCAGACCAAGAAAAACUUAUGGCAGGACACCACAAGCAUAAGAAUAAAUCAAAUAAAUAAAGGGAAACUAGGACUGAAGUAACUUUUGGCUACAUAGGGGUCCAGGACAAAAUUUUUGCCCAUUGUUCUAAGACAACCCAACCAAAUUCUAGAUAAGAAAAACAAGGAGGAAAUUAUAUAAGACAAAGUACGCUUUCAAAAACUCGCCUUUCCUUCUGCUGCUCUAGCUGACAAUGCAAUCUUUAGCCCCAGUCGACGGACCUUCUUAUUCAGCUUGAUAGCAUGACUUCGUGGUUUGGGACCAUGCAUAGUUGCACCACCCCUGAACUGUUAUUCAGCAAGCAAAUCCAUAGUAACCAUUCAGAGUCAUACAAAAAGCACCAUCUAUACAGAAAUAUAAGACAGCAGUACAUCACCUGAGGACCUCGCAGUGUUCCAUGUCUCGCUCGACCAGUACCCUUCUGUCGCCAUGGUUUUCUACCAGUUCCACUGACCUCGCUAAUGGUUUUGGUUGAAUGAGUUCCCUGACAAAAACUCACUGCUCUAAGAAAAUUUCACAAUAAUAAAUUAUUCUCCAGCUUAAAGCUCAUUAAGAAACUAUUAAUAUACACCAAGCACGAAAUAUCCUCCACUGCAAGAACUCAAACUUCCCUUCUUAUAUGCAAAUAACAAUUAAAAAUGUUGAAGAUAACAAGAUACUAGAUGCCAAAAGUUAAGAAAGUUUAAAAAACUGCAGAAGGUUAUAUUGACCUCACUCAGUGGCAUGACAUUAAUAGAUUUGCUAUUCUUAACUCAAUUGUUUAAGAGGAGGAUACAAGGUACAAUAUUGGCUUGUGAAACAUUAAGACAUGUUAUCCUGUCAAUUUAUCAUACUUCCAAGUAAAGAAAGAUCAUCCUACCUGCUGUCGUUUUGCAAGCUGCCACCUUACAACACGAUGGACAAUAUCUUUCCUAAUUGGAACAUCAAAAACAUCGCCAGCCAAAACCAUCAAGCCUUUAUCUUCAUUGGAAAAGUUUGUGACCGGAAUCACCAGGUCCUGACAAAGUCCUAAGAAAUCACAAAUAAUCAACACAGUAAACAAGUGAUGUUUCACUAGUUGAACACAAAGUAGCAAUAUGCCAGUCUAUAAGAAAUUUUACCUUCAUCGGAUGAGACAGAGAAUAUAUAACAAAUCAAAACCAAAAGUAAACUUCAUUUGGUAGGGCCAACUCAAUCUAUAACCUUCCCAGAAACAGAAAGUAAAUCUCCUAGAUAAACUAAAACAUAUCCUCAUGUAAACUGAAAAUCCACUACAAACUCUUAUUAUUUGCAGCCAGAAGCCUUUAAAAAACUUGAAAAUUCUGGAUUUAAGAUACAAACCUAAUAAGAGAAAUUUGUAUCACUCUCUUCAAUACAUUGUGUCAUACCUACCUUGUCAUACAUCACUAUAAACUCAAUCAUAUCGUUAUAAACCAAAUGCAACGAAAUUCUUAGAGUCAAGCCUAAGGUGUGCAAUCAUCUAAUGCAAUUCAAACUGCAUUAAUUGGACACUGUUUCAAUUCAUUCCUCACAGAAAAAUUGACUUAUCCAUCGAUUCAUGAGCUAGAUUUUUAAAAAAAAAAAGUGUAGAAAAAGAAAGUUUAAUACAGCAAAAUUUUCCAAAAAAAUGGAGCAUAAUGAAGCAUGCUAAUCUUUCCAGAACGUAUCUAAAGAAAAGGCAAGUAUUAGAAGUCAUACCAACUGUGCGCUCAGGGGGGAAAACCCGUUUUCUGGACAACAAAUCUGAGGGAAAUGCAUCUUCACAUGAUCCAGGAGUUAAGAUAGAAGUUGAAAACCCUCGACAAGCAGCGAUAAGUAACUCAUUCUGCAGUCAAAAACCAGAAACAAGAAGAAAGCUAAUGAAUAUGAUGCGACCAACAAAAUGUGCUACCAUCUUCUUUCAAAAGAUUCAUUUUUGCGGAAAAAUUAUGAAAAAAAACAAGGGCACAACCACGGAAGACAAAUUUCAAAUCCUAACUAAUUUCUUGCAAGAUCAGUAUAAGCAAAUUGUGAUAACUAAUCCAGUUACCUUUUGAAGAGCAGAUAAUUCAACAGAAAACACACUUUGCCUAACAGCCCGCUGACAGCUCAAGCCUGCAAUAAAAAUUUCCCCCAGAAUAAUAAUAAAGAGUCAGAUUUUAGUCAAGUUAUUCAGGAGAACAAAAAGAGCAUGAAGGUAACAUACCACUAGAAAAACCAAGUGCCGAAGAAAAUGCACCAUUCCAAGAACGAAAAGCCCUUCUUGAAAUCCAAAGUGCCAUGCUCCAAAAUGAUAAACUCUCGAAUCUAAGAACUCUUUAUCCUUUUAAUUUGAAGGGUUGUUUCUGGUCCAGCUAAACGGGAACCAUCCUGGGAAAAUUUAUUGUUUCACCUGAAAGUUCAUAUUUUUAUCAAUGGAUGAUUACCAGAGUAACAGAUAACGGAAGAAAAAUUAGAACACAGAGCCCGAGAUAUCAUAAAAUUUCCCCCCAUUUGCAUUGCUAGGCAGCUGAGGGAGGGGGUUGUUGGCGGAAGCAUACCAGCAAAGUGACUGAGAAAGGCGAAUUGAUGAAGGGUUCCGAUGGCACAGCCCCGAGACUCAAGUAGUAAGAAGAAGAAGAAGAGAAGCAGCUACUGAAGAAGAAACCCUUUCAUAAACCCUUUGCCAUGGUAACUAUUGGGGAAAAUGGCCAAUUUAGUCCCUAAACUUUUUUUGUCCGUCGAUUUAGUCCUUAUAUAUUAUUUAUAGCCAAUUUAACCCUUAAACUUAUAUUUCGAUUCCAAUUAAGGAACUCAGCGGCGGAGCCACCGCACCAUUUCUUUCAAGUUCCUAAUUGAGCAACCCAAAAAGGGUAUUUUUGGAAUUUCAAUGGUGGGGCGGUAACAAAAAUUAAAAAAAAGUGACAUUAAACAAGAAUUAUACACAAAAUGUUGAUUACUAAAACAGCAGUAAUUCUUCUCCUCCUCCUCAUCGUCCCCUUCAACAAUGCUGCUGCCACCUCCAAUUCCACCGCUAAGCAGCAGACUCUGCCAAUCACAGUCGGUCUCCUAGUUCAACCCAAAGCUUGCCCCUAAGUCCCUCUUCGCCUCCAAGAAAUUUGAGGGCUCCUCCGACUUGGUCGACCUUCGCUACCACAUGGGCCUCGUCCUCUCCUCCCCGAUCAACAUCUACCUCAUCUGGUAAGGCUGGUGGGCCGCCUCCUACCAGCUCCUCAUCAAGGACUUCCUCUUCUCCAUCUACACCUCCGAUCGCCGCGCCACUCCUUCCCUCUCCGUCUCCCAGUGGUGGCGCACCGUCUCCUUCUACACCGACCAGACUGGCGCCAACAUCUCUAGCUCCGUUCUCAUCGUCGGGGAGUACUCCGAACCCCGCUGCUCCUAGGGCACCCACCUCACUCGUCUCUCCAUGCAGCAGGUCAUCGCCACCGCAGUUCGAUUGAAGCGCUUCUCCAUCGACCACAAGAACGACAUCUACCUCAUCCUUACCUCCGGGGAUGUCACCGUCCAAGAUUUCUGCUGAGCUGUUUGCGGCUUCCACUACUUCACCUUCUCGUCCGUGGUGGGCUACACGCUACCUGUGCGAGGGGAGACAAAUAUUUCACAGAACCUGUGAAAGGGCAUUCUCCAAUAUUGGGGAUUUUGGAAUUAAUGGUUGAUCUGUUCAAAGCCUUUUUUGUUCUUCCCCUUGCGUUCCUCGGUACCUUUGCCAGGACACCCAUCAACCAAGUCCAAAAGAAUGGCUUCUCCCUUGGCAUAAGAAAUCCCUUCGGCAGCAUUCAAUUUGGUUUUGGAGGCCAAGAUGGCAGUAACUUUGAUGGCUUCCAGCAACCUCCUGAUGACACCCAGCAGCCCUCCGACAAGAAACUCGAAUUCCGUACAAAUUUCCGAGGUCAUUGGAAGAUUCAUUCUGAAAAUGCUGGAGUUUCAGCCAUGUAGUUCCAGUUGCUGCCUAACAACAAAGCCGUGUGGUUUGACACCACCAACCUUUGCCCUUGCGGAAUUCAGUUUGAUCAUCCAUAUUGUCACGAAAAGAGAAGGAUAAAAGGAGGAGGAGGAGGUGGGUGGUUGGUGGCGGAGAUUGGUAGUGGAGAGAAGAUAAUUUAAAAUUCCUAAAAUGCCCUUGUUUGAUGUUAAAUUAGGGGCUAAAUUGCUUUUAGAUGGCGGCGCCGCCGUAGAAGGCCUUAAUUGGACUCGAAAAUUAAGUUCAUGUAUUAAAUUGGCCAGAAAUAAAAGUUAGGGAUUAAAUCGACAGAAAAAAAAAAUUUAGGGACGAAAAUGGCCAUUUUCCCUAACUAUUUCUGUGUUUUGGGGAGAAUUGUUGUCCGGGUCGGAGUUAAAUGAGUUUGGUUUGCACGUGCUUCGGAAAGAAGUGCGGCCCAUCAGUCUAUGGUCUAAGCUAAAAAGUUUUGUGGGCUUUUCUCGUAUCUUUGCCCACAUUCAUUUUUUGAUUUUGAACUUUACUAGUCUUUCGUCCAAAAAAAAAAAAAAAAAAAAUUUACUAGUCAAUUGCCAAUGAUUUUAGAACCCACCAGUAUAAGUUUUACACAAUUUCAUCGGCCGGUCGUGUCCGGAUCCAUUUUAAAAAAGAAAAGUUAAAAAAAAAAAUCAGAGUAAAAUAGCUUCACGAAACUCAGGUGAAAAGUUGAAGAGAUAUUCGUCGAUAAUUAUUUUGGGUUGCUUGUCAAAAAUUAAUAGCACCCUGUAGAUGGGAAAAUAGUGGAGCAUUUUGAUGACGACUCGGUGGUGUACAGGUAAAACGACCCAAUCAAACUCCUUCCUUUUUUGCUGGAAACAUGAUAUGAAAACGCGAAUGAACAUUAAAAUCGACUAUUUAUGCGGGGUCCUAAAUGCUGCUCCAUCUUCUCAAGCGGCAGCAGUUGAGUUAACCGCUACCACCCCAACAAGCACAUAUGUAUAUAUACUAAUAAGUUGAUGAUAAACGAGCAAAUUUAAAAUCCUAGUAAAAGAGACCUUCAUGUCCAGAAAAAACUAGACUUAUUUUAAUUGGAUCUAGUGAUCUGCUAUUAUACAUCAGCACAGCGCUUCAAUUCAUACUUCUUCACAUUCUUGACACUGAGAAUGACCGAUGCAGUGACCAGCUAACACACCUCAUUCAAUUGACUCCGUUGACCUUCCCAUCUUUGCACAGCUUUCUCACCAUCUUUAGCCACCUCCACCCGGGCCAGUGCCUGCUGUAAAUUGAUAUUGAGGAUCUGCAGGUUCAAUACUAAAAACCAUUACCAGCUUUUCAUCAAGGAUGAGAUAUAGGAAAAGCAAGACAAGCAUCCACAACCACCUUAUGAAACAUGGUUUCCUGGCCUUCACAUGAUCAUUAAUCCACAAUUGAGGUAAAUCUCAUUACUGGCAGUACUCCCCUCCACCUUUUCGCAUUUUCUUCAUUCCAUAAUCCAUAUUGAACAACUCAGUUUCUAACUCAUUGUGAUAUCAGUUCUAUCAAUAUGUGUGAUUCAUAUCUCCUAGAGAAAAUUAGAUCAUAACGUUACUUCCUGAGGAAGUAAUCUGAGCAUCAAGACUCCAACUGAUGAAAAUCUGCAGGACAUCGUAGAUGUCUGUCUUUUGUAUCUUUUCAAACACAAUAAUGUUACCACUCCUAAAAAGUUAAUCAGUCGACACCCGGAAGCAAGCAUAGAAGGUCAUCGACCUCUAUAUAAUCUCCUUCUAGAAUGGUUUUCAAGUCCUGCACAGCCAAAUCGUACAAAUCAUCAGCAAGGAAGUAAUGAUUGAUCCAUGGGCCGUAUAAUUCUACAUGUUCAAAUUCAACAGAUCAUAAAGAAAAAGCAAUCUCCAUUCUUGUUAAUAAGAAAGCAAAAUCUAUCUGGAUAAACUUAAGGGCGUCAGUAAGUAAACUCGGAAAGAGUAGUUAAGGAACCACAUUCAAUUUCCAACCCAUAAGACGAAUGAGGAGAUAGAAGUUUGAAGAAGGGAAAAGAAGAUCAUGUUGGGAAAACAGGAACAUUUAUUACUCUAUACAUAUAACAUCUUCAUUUCUGCAUGUUCAGGAAAGCUCACUGGAAAUCUCAAACUUACUUAUCAGGUCAAUCAAUUCAAGACCAUCACUCGGAAGUUUUCAGCAUCCCAUUUACCAAAGAAAAAAUGUUCAUUCUAAUAUGGCAAGUAAAUCUCAACUAAGAGGACUGUCUACCAACUUAUCCACAGAAUUUACAGUAAAAAAGAAAAAAGGCUUAUGACCAACCUCUCUGUUUCUCCUCAAGAAAUCGCACAUAUAACAGUCACUAAAGUCCUAACGCCAGUGAACCUCCAACAAAGUGAAUAGAAAAAGAGCAAUCCAAAAGGAACAAAGAAUGCUAUUGAGCUUUGACAUUCCACAAUCAGACAAAGCAACUGUUUUGAAAAUAUACUGCAGAAGUCUAAGCAGCAGAAUCCUUCUAACUAUAACUGAUAGGAAAAAUUUCGCUGAAUUGAAAAGAAGAAGAUUUCAGGUUUGAUACCUGCUCAGAAACAGGCUUGAGGCUAAUGGUCUUGUCUAACUCAUUACCCUGUCCUGUAGGGAGCUUCAAAACCUCAUUAUCAUCAUUUUGCGUACUCUUGUCAUGCAUUUUAGAUUCUCCAAUAACUGAUGUAACACUUCCAUCAUAUUGAACACCUAUAUGACGCACAGUUGCAACACUUUCCUCACCGCAGGAACUUAUAUUGUGCUCUGAUAAGUUAUGUCCCAGAUCAGAUUUUUUAAACACUCGGCAAAGGACAAAAGAUCCCUGCAUAAACUUUGAAUCAUGAGAUUCUGAAUAAAUUUUGUUGCAGCUUUAACCAAAUGAAUUAGAGCAGAAACUUCUAACAUAAUCCAAUAACCAAAUUUCCUAGAUCUUUUAAUAUUCAAUCUGAUCAUAUGGGAAAGCAACCAUCAUCAAAAUAUACUUGACAUCUACACAGUACACACAGAUGGAAAUAAAUGGAAAUCACAACCCUAGGAAGAAUACACAACAUCCGAGUCAUAUAUGAAAGAUGGUGCACACAUUAGUCUCAGAGUGUAGGACUGUCGAAUAGAAGCUGACAUCAAGAUCCUUGAAACAAGAAACCAUCUAUUUUCUCCUCUUCUCGCACACAGACAAAUCAUGAUCAAAAGCUUGUCCAGCAGCAGGGUAAUGGGUAUCACACAGUGAAUCUCAAGUCUAAACCGAAGCCUCCCAUUCAGGAUCUUCACAAAUCAAAACUACUUUCAAUAUGUUAUUAGGAAAUAUUCACGAUGCAUUUUUUCUUCUUGCCUUUAACAUUAAGAUCAAUUAAGAAAAUCACCUUUACAUUUUGAAACAAAAUAUACUUUCUUUUACAAAAAAUGAUUUCAUCACACCAAUGCAAAAGGCACCAAAAGCUAUUUAUAAUGCGUAAUUGAUAAUAGCAAGAUAACAAACACAAACUUAAACCUAAUUCCAAAUAAGAAAUAACUAAUCUAGCUCAACAGGUAAAUCACAAACUUUAUGUCUCUAUUUGCGCCUGUAUGUGCAAAUUCUAGUACCAAGUACAAUAAAGUAGAAGAGAAUUUUAACAGCUUUAUUAGGGAAAAAAUGAAUUAAAUCCACAUUGACCCCACUAAAAUCAUUUCCCGAAACCAGCAUAAGCAAGACUGCCAACUGACAAUCAUUCAUUUAACAUGGCCGAAUCCAAUUUCUACUUCAUACCCUUGAAUUUAGGAAGCAUAAAUUACCACCAAAUUUUCUCCAUAAAUAAAAAAAAAAAUAAAAAGAACCGCAGAACCCAAUUCGCAAUGAAAAUGAAAGUAUUUGGGGGAGAAAAAAAUUCCCAUUAGAUAUUAACGUCAAGUUAACUAAUUAUCCAAAAAAGUUAAUCUACUCAAACCCAAUCAGCUUAGACCAACAACAAUGUAUAACUUCUACCAAAAUAUCAGGUACAAAACUUCAAAUUUUCACCAGACCCAUAACUUAAUAAAUUAUCAUCAAAACAUAAAAGAAGAUUAAUACCAUAUGACGAUCAUUGAGAGCAUAUUCAUACAGGGCCCAACGAGUCCUAACAGCAUUCUCAUGUGAAUCCCCCGAAUAAAAAUCAAAACUUUUACGCGUCCCCACCACAACUUUCCCUGCACCCGCAUCAAUUACAUCCCUAACCCUCCCCCUCUUUUUCCAAUACCCACCACCGGCGACUCUCCUCCUCCCUGUCUCCCUCAAAACAACCCUCCUAACGUAACAAUACCAGUGGCGCCUCCGCCCUCCGCUGCCGAACCGGAAGCAACCCGAUUCAGGUAAGUUGAACGGGUUGAAAUUGUACAAGUCUAACUCUUUAAUUACGUCUUUGCCAUAACAAUUGGUGCCGUUGUUUUUAGAAGUAAGGUAGUAGCAGACGAGCUGUUGCUCGGAAGGGUAGAAUCGAGAACCUGGUGGAAGACAAAACGACGUCGGAUCAUCCGGGGGCAUUGGAUCCUCUCCCCUCAUUUGUGGAAAUUUUCCGCGAGAGCAAAGGCAUGGACAGGGGACAGAAGGUAGGGUUUUAUAGCAGUCAGGGACUCAAGAAGCGUGGCCCUGAAGUUUGUUUGGGGUUUUGUCUUGUGUAGUGCUAGCGCAAAAGAGUGUUCGUGCUCCUCAGUAGUGCGAGCUCGCGGGUCUCUUUCCACGAUUAUGCUGAAUGGUUGAUUGCUUUGCUGCUUAAUCUUGUGUGACCUCGUUUGGAGGGUUAAGGAUACUGUUUAUAAAGAAUACGAGUGCUUUUAAGGAUACUGUUUAUAACCUGCUAAAUUAACCUACGUUAAGAAAAUCAGUUACUAAAUACCCUAAAAAUACAUUGAAUAAAUCUUAUAAAUAUCCUAAAAAUACUUUAAAUAAAUCUUAUAUACACUAUCACGGGUAGAUAUACGAUACAUAUGCAAAAUUUAAUUUUCAAAUUCAAAUUCAAAUUAUAUGUCGUACAUCUAAUGAUGAAAAUAUAUACACUACUGUCAGUGUAUAAAAGAUUAAUCCAAAUACUUUUAGUGCUUAAACUUUUUUAUUGUAAACGCAUUGCAACGCUAAACGGGCCAUUAGUGUGGUUUAACUUUAGUAAUCUUCGAAGUACAUCAAAGCUAUGACAAAUAUAAUUUAUACUAAAAGCCAUAUUUAACUUGGGAUUUAUAAUUGUUUAGUAAAGGUAUUUUUCUGUAGCAGAUCGAAUGUCUCAAAUCAAUCAAUUUAGGUAUCGUGUAAUUGUUGUCUAAUAUGUAUUUUAUUAAAGACUUUUGGAUUGAUAGUAAUGUAGUAGAUGUGCUCGUUCAAUUGAACUUGCUCUAUUGGAAAUUGGAAUUGAAAUUUGAUGCAAAAGUGUGAAUAAAUUAAUACGAUUAAACAAAAAUAUACCUAUAUUGGAAUUGAAAAAUGAUUCAAAAGUAUGAUUGAUAUAAUAAGUUAAAUUCUUCUUGGUCAAGGUUUUCCUUUUCCGGGAAUACCCCAUAUCCACAGUCUAUACUCUAUAGGUGCAUGUCUCACCUUUUGAAAAGUCAACUCCAUUGACAAACGAGGAAUGCAACCGCUCAGUGGCCACCGUCUAUUUGGCGGACCUUACCUUCCAUUAAAAAUAUCACAUUUCAGUGACUUGUUUCCAAAAAAUUCAAGUGCGCGUGCGGUGCACUCGUCUGAUUCGAUGUGGUUCAGUUCCCUUCGAUUUAUUUUUGAGCUUUUUUAGGUCCGUCCCCUUCCUCUUAGUGUAGGAUAUAUUAGGUUUAUCGUCUCCGAUCAAAAAAAAAAAAAAAAAGACAAACCAGGAAUGCCCUCUGAAUACUGCGCUUACUGAAGAGGGAUGAUGUCUGUCUACUUUUGUUCCGAUUGUUAAGUUCAUUUGAAAGAAUUUUAAGUACGCCUAGGUUGCGAUUGGAAUGCGGGAUUUAAUGAAAGAUUGAAAUCUUCUCAAAUUUUUAUAAUUAUUUAUGAAGUAUUUAAAUUUAUAAAUUACAAAUUAUUAUAGUGUUUAAAAUAUAUUUUGAUAAUUAGUGGAUUAUAAAUUCAAAUGUAUCUAAAUCAAUUCAAAUAAUUAGAACAACUUGAGCGGAUUUCAAAUUCUUCGUCAAAUUUCUCAAUCUAAAAAAAGAAAAAAAAAAAGAAUGCAUUUUGCCUCUUUUAUGGUAGAAGAAUGCACCCCGAGUGUGUAUAUCAUACAUGCAAUUCGCGAAACAUUAUCGACCCUUUUCUGGUUGAACUCCCCUGGCGUUUCUCUCCACUGUAGUUCUUGAAACCAAACAUUCACUAAAGGAUAAUUUGAUUUUCACUUUCUUUCCCAUUAAAAGUAAAAAUGAUUACCAUUUCAUUUAAUUUUCAAGCAUGAGAUGCGGAAGGGGUCCAUCAUGAUGCACUGAUUUUCGUGAUUCUGAACAAGUUGAAAUUGCAAGAACAUAUUAUUAUAUUGUGUGAUUUACAGAUUUCUGACAUAAUACAGUUCGUUUUCGUCUACAUUAAAGCACAAGAACUCCAGAAAUAACGAGUCCACCUAGUUGAGGGGACAUCGGUUUACUCAUUGACUGGAAUGCUGCGAAACUGUAGUAUCUAUCCGGUGUGAAGUGCAUGGAUGCGUGAACAAAUCUAGCCCCAGGACUGUUAUCGCAUCGCCGGUGCAGUCAAUAUAAAGGGGCACAUGAAGGGCCGAUUUUCUUGUUUCAGUGUUGCAAGAUGACCUGAUAACUGGUAGAAACGGAGGAUGUUGAGGGAGGGGGAGUCCGUUGAGCAUCUUCAGGGGGUCCUUGAUUUGGUUUUUACUUUUACUUGAUUCUGGAGACUUGGCGGAAGGAAGGGAGGCCUUUCUGCAUUUGUGUGAAGACGCCAUGAUCUGAAUUAGCUCAGACGCAAUGGUUCAGGGGUGGUUUUGAAGGGAAUCCGCAUCUUUGCAAGUGUGAUCACCAGUUGAUGCAACUUCCAGGCUGCCCAUCCCAAUCCAUUUCUCCGCAAGUAGCUGUUGCUGCCACUGUCUGUAUGCAGUUACCCAAGUAAUCAUCUGAUAAAGGUGGAUUUAGCCUUAAUCUGUUAUUAACAUUUCAUAUGACAUUAUUGUGUUUUGUGAGCCGGGCUCAGGUUUCAAGCCCUCAUGAUACACCUCCGGGCAUGAGCUGAUACAGAGCCUGGAAGGUGGAAACUUCCAUGAUCCAUCUAGGCGCUUCUUGUACGCUCUUGAGUAAUUGGUGACGGCGAGUGAAUGCUACUACUGGGCUGGGAGGCUGACUGAGAGUUUGGACCAUAUGCAUCCCCUCAGGAAACCAAUGUCCACGGGUUGCUGGUCUGCACUGCGGAUGGUCAUGUUUUCCUUCCCCCGAGUAUUUGUUUGCUUUAAAUAUCUCAGACCAAUGUGUUGAAGAUGAUGUCCAAUCCACCAGCAUAUGAUUAGCGGAACGUCCAAUGCAGAUGCCAUCAGUCAUCUCCGUGACUUGAAUGCGAAUGGUCAGCAGCACUCAGUAGAAACGAGGUGUGGGCUUCGUGGUUCACGACUCUACAAUUUAAUUUUGGGCGAAAGGAUAUCCAUUGUUGUGACAAGUAAACUGGUUUGGUUACUGUGAGAUACGACGAAGAUAAAGCACUGUGAGAUAUGAUGAUAAAUCCCAAUUAGGGAAACUCAUUGCUGCUACUUUAGCAAGUCCUACUCCGCCUAUACUUGGCGCCAGUCCACAAAGUUGAAAACCCCAUUCAUUCUUUUAUCUAUUGAAUUUUUAGUUGUAUACACUGACUAGGAUAUCCUUCUGGGGCAACAUGGGAGUUAAUUUUCGGAUACUUUGAACCAAUACAGUAGUAUAUAGAACUGCGCGUAACGUGCUGGUGAGCAUCAUACUAUUAUUGUUUGCCUGGCCAGGGAGAAUCAGUUGGGGUUGUCCAAAAAAUAAACUAAAAUAAAAAGGGAUGAAUUCGCAAAUUCUUACCAGCCGCCGAAAAUGCUGAAGAGAAAAACCAACCCUACUGUCGGCGAUUGCAUGGAACUAAAAAAUAAUUGAUUUCGAAGGGACUCCCAAGUUUGUUGAAAAGACACCCCGUCUCAGAGUCGGACUCCUCUACUAUCAGUACUGGUUCUAUAAUUUUUAUUUUAGGAGCACUCAGACACCGCGAAAACACGCACUGGCUCAUAGGUUUCUCUAAGUCGGCCCCCUCUGUACUACAUCCAAAAACGUAUAGGCUUAGUCGACACCCCAGGUCAGAUUUGCCUUCCUCUCAUGUACCGGGUGGUUCCUGCAGAGACCUUAGCGCUCGAGCAGUUUUCUCUUCUAGUAUUAUAAUCCUGGAAAUCAUCUCAAAAACAGUUUUAAAAACAAAUUACCAGCCAUUAACUCUCUAAACAAUAUCCAAAAAUAAGAUGAGAAUAAAACUAACUCCGCCAGGUUCAAAAUUCCAAUCUAUCAUUCGAAAACUCAGUUCUAGAAUCUAAUUCCUUCCCUACCAAAGAUAUUGAUCUUGAUUCUAUCAAAAACUCAUUUCUUGCAUUCUCAUCACUUCACGCGCUCAGGAAACGAUGCUGUCACUCAGGGAAAGUGAGGCUAGCUGAUCAGCUGGGCCGCUUCCCUGCUGAACAUUCUGCAGGACCUCCAUUGCCUCAGCAACUUUUGCCUUUAAAGCAUCUGGUGAUUCCAGUAGAUGCAAGACCUCUGUCUGGUCCAUCUCCAGAAGCAUGCCUGUAACUUUGGCUGCAUAAUCAGGCUCCAGCUGAUCAACCAAGGGAUACAGAUUUUCACCCAACAUCUGCAGCAUAGAAACAUGUUAACAACCAUCUAGACAAAACCUAUUUACUGAAGCUUCAUAUAAAAUGUUAUAUCCUACCGUGCGUUGCUGUUCUGGGGAUGCAUUUGCAAGCGCAGAUGCCAGAGCGGUAGUUGGCAUUGGCUGACCAAUGGUACCUUCUCGGGGAAGCGUCCCACCCAUGUCAUAUGGAGAGAGAACGCCUCCUGCUACACCAGGCAUUCGCACAUCAGGAACACUGCGGCCAGGUGGAUACCUAAACAUCCGUCCCCUUGGUAGCAUCUGACAAACAAAUAUUUGACCUUAGUUCUGUUACACGAAAAAAUACAUACAUAACAUAUACAGUAAGAGACCAACCUGCUGCUGCAUCAAUGGCACUGGCUGCUGGGCAUGUUGCACUGGCCCUGCUCCACGCCUUCCACCAGGCCGCUGGCCUUGCUGGACCAGUGGCACAAAGAAAUUUGGCAAAGGAGCUCCACCAGGUCGCAUUCCAGGUACAAGCUGCUGCUGAUAUCCAAAUCCAGCCUAAAAAUGCUUAUCCCAUUUAAGAGUACUGCCACAAGAAGAGAAGAAAAAAAAAAGAGCAAAAGGAAGGGGGGGGGGAGGCGGGGAGGGGAAGAAAUGUAAUGGCAAAUACAGCAGUCAAAGGACAAGCUAUAACCUGUGGAGGGAUUAUAGUAGGAGGAGCUUGCCCAUAAUAUAGAUGUUGUCCAAUAGCAGGACCACCAGGAGGAUAAAGAGGCAUUCUAGGAGCAAUAGUUGGCCCUAUUGCAACAGGCCUCAUUUGCGCAAACUGAGCCUGCAUUAACAUCAAAAUGAUGAAGUCUGUCAAGAAUUACAGUACCACAUUCAGCCUAAGCCACACAAAACACGCUUCUGCAAGGCAUUGUCAUAACGAUUCAGCUAUGACAAAUUGCAGCACAUAAUUACUACUAUUUCUGCUUUAGGUCCCAUGGAACCCUUAAAUUUCAGAAACGAAAAUUUGAGACCAAAACUGAACAACAAAUACAGCAAAAUAGGAAAGCUCAAAAUCCAGUAUACAUGUAAGCUGAGAAUGCUAAAAAUCUAAAUGGAUAUGACAACUAAAUUAUUGAAAUUUUUAAGCACUACUAAGAAAAUUCAACCAUCAACCAUCCACUCAUAUUCUAAUAGACAUUGUGUACUUUUUUCUUAUGACUGACAUAACCAAUGAAAAUAGAGAUUUGACACCCAGAAUAUGCAAAAGGAUGCAAAUAACAGCAUUUGGCAAGGAGAGUCUCAUGCAGGAAAAAUCAAUAUGCCAUAUGAAAGCAUGUUAAAUUAAGUGCCAGCAGGCGAAGAAUUCUUAUAUGUCAUCCACAAAAGCAACCAGAAAACAUAAAUAAAAGCAGCAAAGGAGAAAUCUCCUGAAAGCACGAGACCUGUAAUCUUGCUUUUCGCUCUUCUUUCCUCUGCGCCAGUGCAACAUAAAGUGGCUUGCUGAUCACCAUCUUUCCAUUCAUCUCAGAAAGCUAUUAACAAGAAGGAAACAACCUAGUUAGCUUCUCACCAUUCCCCAUAUAAUAGAAACAUAAUCUAAUUUAUCAUCGUACAGCUCUAGAAGCUUCUUCAGGAGUUGUGAAAGCUACAAAACCUGAUCCUCUGCUAAUACCACUAGGAUCCUGCAUAACCUAAAACAAAUCAAGAAUGUAGUUAGGAGGACAUGAACAAACCAAGGUGAACAUUUGAAGGAUACUCCAACAUGGAGAGAUGGAAAGGAAGUAUAGGACAAGAGGAUCAAUUAAAAAAAAAACUAGAGAGAUUUGAAUAUGCACCUUGCAUGAGGUUAUGGUGCCAAAAUCCGAAAACAGUUCCUUAAGUUUAUCAUCAUCAAUGCUGUCAUCCAGGUUCUUUACAUAUAAAUUCAAACCUUGAUAUUUGUCUACCACUUCCUUUGCCGUUUGCUCAAAUUGACUCUUGAGCUCUUGCUCUCUUUCAGACUUCUUUUGGGCUUUUCCAACAUACCACUCCUUGUCAUCAUAUUUUUUUCCAUUAAGAGCAUCAACAGCUUUGGCAGCAUCAUCUGCAUUCUCAAAGUUGACAAACCCAAAACACUUGGAUUUUCCAUCUGCAUCCCUCAUCACCACUGCACUAGUGAUUGCUCCAUGCUCCCCAAAAAUUUUCUUUAGAUCAUCAUCUGUGGUAGACUCUGAUAGAUUUUUCACAUAGACAUUGUUAAAUUUGGUCCUACUGAAGGCGGACUCUCUCUCCUGCUUACGAAGGAACUGACCAACAUACACUUGCUUAUCGUUAAUAAGCAUUCCAUUCAACUUAUCAAUGGCAGUCUGAGCAGAUUCUUCAUGGUCAAAUUGAACAAAACCAUAACCCUUAGAUUGGCCAUUGCCGUCAGUAGCUAUCUUGCAUGAAAGAAUGUUGCCAAAGGUUGAGAAUGUAUCAUGCAAAGCUUUGUUGUCAAUUGCCUUGUCCAGAUUCUGCACAGACAAGAACAAUUCAAUACUCCACACAAAGCAUGCAUAAGACAAUGGCAUAGUACAGUAACAUUUAACCCUGGUGGUGCUUUAAGAAUAUAAAGCAUAAAAUCUCAAGAGAGAAAGAACUGUACAACAGUGUUUUAUUAAUUCUUCAAGAUCACAGAAUUAGGCUAGAAAAUUUACAAUGCACAGCAUCGUUCAAUCAGAUUUGAUGCUCAUGGGCCAAAGGAGGCUACUGAAGUGUACUAGAACAAAGCAAAUAAUCUAAAAACUGAAAUUUGUUCAGUGCUUUAUCAACAAUAAAAAAUUUUUAAUCCAUGUCAUGCCAAGUAAGACUAUACCCAGAAUAAACAAAGGGACCCGCAUGGUGCAUUAGAUAGGGGCAAGUAAUAACCCUAAUAACUGAAAAGUUAUUUAGCAUCGUUAUUCAUUUAAUACUAAUUGCACAGCAACCCUAGCAACAUGCCUUGGCAGUGCUAUACUCAAGCCUGAUCAAUGAAUAAUGAUGGAUCAAUGAAUAAUGAUGGACAGUUGACAAUUGAUAAUACCUUGAUAAAGAUAUUUGCAGUCCCACUCUUACGGAUGCUAGGGUCUCGAUGAGAGUACAUGAUCCUGAUCGACUUGCCAUUGAUAGGAGUGAAGUUUAACACAUCCAUUGCCCUUGUAGCUGAAACAAAGAAAAACGGUAUUGGUAGUAAAUUUAAUGGAAAUGAACUUCAGGUAGAAAACUUAAAUAAACAGACAAAGAGAUGCUAUCAUAUCGCCAAGAAAUCAGUAAAAAGAAUAUCAAGUAAAUUUACACAGACUAGUGUACAUUACUUCUCUCUAACAUUUGGAUGGUAAUAGACAAGCAGCAGCCUACGUGUGGAGCCGCAAAAGGAAGGUGAUAUAAAAUCAACCUAUAAAAGCAAAGGGAAGGGUAGCAAUAUGUAUUUUUCAUCUAUCCAUAAACUACAAACAAAGCUAGUAGAUAGACUUAUCGCCAGAAUUGGAGCCACACCCGAAUCAAAGUGUCAAACUGAAAAUAAAUUAACAGCAAUAGCUGACCAGCUUACAGCUGACUUGCGUUGUUCAAAAACCUAAAAAUUCUAAACUUUAGGCACAACACGCAAUCUUGUCAAGCAUCCAGAAGUAUGCCUACCCAUCAAUUAUCACACACCAAAGCAUAAGACGUUACAGAAUACCCUCAUGCAAAUCCUACAUUCCAACAAAGACCACAAUGCAAGUCCCUAUAUCAUAGAAAAUCAUUCAUAUACAUAAAUGCCAGGGGAACUUAUACAGGAAAAAGAGAAUAGAAAAGAAGAAACAAGCUUUACCAUCCUGAGGAUUGCUAUAGUUGACGUAGCCAUAGCAGAGUGAGCGGCGAGUGCUGAGGUCCCUACAGACCCUAACCGAAACCACUUGUCCCACCUGGUUGAACAGAUCGUACAAUUGGGAGUCCGUCACGUUGACGUCCAGGUCACCCACGUAAAGCGAGGUUGACAAAAACUGAUUCCCUCCACCAAUGGGAGCCGCUGCUGCCGCCACAGCAGCACCACCAGCCGGAGCCGCCACUCCAUUCGGCCCAGCUGUCACUCCCGCAUUCUGCACCUGAAUCUGCGCCAUUUUUUCCUUUUCUCAAAAAUAAAACUUAUUUAAUUUCCCCCUCCUAAAUUACUAUGACUGUAAUUUUUGGGUAAAUUAAAGAAAAGGCGGAGGGCGUGAUGAAAUUGGGACAAAAAUAUAAAAUCGUCGGAGGAUCCGAACGAACAAUGAAGACGAUGGAUAGAUAGAGAUGAUUUUUACUAUAUAUCAAUAGAUUUUGUAUUAAAAAGAAAAAAAAAAGAAGAAGGAGAUGAAGAAGAAGAAGAAGAAAAAGGGCAAAAAAUUUUGGUUUUUUUUUUUUUGGAUUUUACGGCAGGGGAGGGCAGGGGGAACUGCACCGCAACAGGCAAGAAGACAACAGUGAGGUUUAUAAUGAAGCACCCAAACGGUGGUGACGUAUGAGAAACCCUAACGGGGUUAGGUCUCCACCGUUGGAUUCUAAUAGGGGUCCCACUUGGCGGUUACAUUUUAGACUGAACGGUGAGAUAGAUUCACGAUUCGGUUUCAGUUUGCUUGUGGACGCCGUUAGAUGUUUUUGAUCAACAUUUCAGGUUCAGUUUGAUUGUGACACGUGGGGAAAUGUGCAUGGGAGUUUUAGUAGCGUGGUUGAAUCUAGCCGUGGGCUAAUGUCAUCUCUCGGCUGUAUUCCUCUCACUUUUUACAAUCUACGAAAGAAAACUACGUAGUAUUUUCAUGUCUAUCAUUUCCUUCCUCAAGAAAAACAUUUCUAUCUUUUGGUUUCGAUAUAUAGUAUUAAAAAUCAAUCGUUUUUGCUGGGGGAAAUGACACAACAUGAAAAUGUCUAUAUGUGAGAAGUGAAAGCCCAAUUAAACACAAAUGUUUGGAUAGUAGAUUAUUCAUGAUAAAUUUUUGAAAAAAAAAAUGCUAUCUCACUUUUUUUGAUGUAAUGUAUGUAAGAUAAGAUGGUGAUCGAAAAAUAUGUUUAUGAUACAACUAAAUAAAUUUGUGUAAAUAAUUCACUAUUCAAUUUCCCACUCUUUUGAUCAUUGAUGAAUAUUUUUGUUACAACCACUCUAUGACAAAUUAUUUUGUCAAUACGGGGACUAAACCACCAUCGGACUAGACGGCUGCACUACGCACCGUGCACCCGUCUGAAUUUUUUGAGGAGAGUCACUUUUUAAUGUGGCGAAUUUGCCUUCCACCCCACUAAGCUUUAAUGCAUUGGUGGUCGCGCACUAACCCAAAGGCCGGUGGUUUUUUAAAUUUCUAGCUUGAUCAUUUUUUUUUUUGAAAUCAAAAGAAUUGAAACUUUUGAAAAGGAUAAGUUAUACAAACUUUAUUUGAUUAAUAUGUAACUUAAGAACGAGUACAAACUAAGACAUAAUAGCUGUCACUAAUUGUUUAAAAAAGGAAAAAGUGAAAUGAAUGGGUUUGUGGCAUAUUCCUCAAAAUGAUGUAAGUUAAAGAGUUUCAAGCUAUUGAGAUGAAAAAAAAGGAGAAAAGAGAUCACAAUUCCCACUUGUGAGUUGUGAUAGAAUAUUGUCGAGGUGAUGAGUAGGUACUCUUGUGAUUGAGACGAUGAUUUCUUUGUUUUCUUUUUUUCUCCCACUUUUUUUUUUUAUUAUUUAUAACCAGGUCUGAACUUUGAUAUACAGGUGUAGUGGUAUGAUGGAUGGAUGAAGAAAAGCCCUAAUAUUCCGAAGUCGCUUAGUAUGAUAAAUUAAUAAUUGGUCUCUGCGUUAGUUUGGCCAGAGAUCAUUAAUUAACUGACGAUUAAUUUUGAUGGUUUGGAAUUGUGUGUCUUAAGAAGUAUUGAGACAGGGAAAUCCCGUAGACAAUCAACUAAUCAUGCAUGCUUUAAACGACCUUCAUGAACACAAACUAAUUGCAGCUUGACAUAUACGUCUCUGAGCUCAUUUCCAUGGACUUAAGUGCAAUUUCAAUUUUGACCUUUUUAUUUUUCCUUUUAGCGUAUGAUUUAAUAUAUGAGAGAUAAAAAAAAUGAUUAAAAAAUAUGUUCACGAAAAAUAUAAUAAUUUUUUUUUAGAAAAUUGCAAUCCAAAAAUAGCGGUUUUCCACCAAAAAGCAUGAAGAAUUCUCUAGGCAGGGUGUGUUUUGUUGAUUAAUCAAGUGUUAAUCUACUAGUAAUCAUUUGAAGAAGAAUCGUAAAAUGAAUCAUUUUCUAGAGUUUUUUGUAAAAAAAUCGUAUUAUAGUGAUUUAAUAUAUGUGAAAUAAAAAGUUAAUUGAUAAAUGUAUUCAUGAAAAAACGUAAAAAAAUUUUGGUGGAAAAAUAGCUUUUCCGAACAACAAGGACAUUGUAUAGCCUCUAACGAACUGAGCACAGGAAGAAAACCAUAAAGAAACUAUUCUUAAUUUUUUUCUUCAGGUAUACUAACACUUACCAAAGGAGAUGUACAAUUAUUAGGGAUAAUAUCAGAAACCUCCCUUGAGGUUUCUCCUAAUAUCACUUGAUACCCCUGAGAUUUUUUGAAAUAUCAUUUACCUCUCCUAAUAAUUGCAAAAAGAUUAUAUUAACCCUCAUUUGACACAUAAUUCACAUAUCAAAUAAAUGGAACUCACAAAUUUUUUAAAAAAUCACUUUUUUCUCUUUCUCUUUUCUCCAUCAUUCUUUUUUACUCAUUUUUUGCAUGACUAUGCAAUAUUUUAUUUAUAAAUUAUAAUAAAUUAAAUUUUUUAUCUUAUAUUUUUUGUAAUUGUGAUAAAGUGGAGUAUGAUUUAUUUGCUUAUUUUGAGUUGAUUUUUAUAAUGAUUGGUACAAUUUAAUGGUUUAAGCAAAGGUUCAAAAGAUGUUGAAAAAGAAAAAUAAAAGUUCAUAAGAAAUCGGCUUUGAACAUAUAGAGUUAAAUUGGUGCAAGUGUAUUUCUCUUCAAAUAUCUUUUGUUUUACAAAUUUAUAUUUUUAUGGGGUAUAACAUUAUGAUGUAGUAUUAUAAGAGAUUGUUUUUUAGAUGAUGAUUUUCUUGAAAUUAACAAAGUGGAUCAGGAAUAUUUUUAUUUAACAAAUGAAAGAGUAGUUUAGGGUUUAUAAAAAUUUUGUAACAUAAAUAAUAAAAGUAAGGGAGGUAAGUGAUAUUUUUAAAACCUUAGUGUUGCCAAGUGAUAAUAAGGAAAAUCUCAAGGGAGGUUUCUGAUAUUAUCCCAAAUUAUUAAACUAUGUGGCCGUUUAAACUUUACUCAAUCAAAACGAAUUUGAUUUGAUUAUGUUUAAAGCCUAAUAUAUACAUUUAGAAAGAAAAGUUGCACCAAAGCUUUACAUGCAACGUUAUUAAAGCAGAUCUCAUCAUCAUCUUCAGAUGACAAUCGGACUAGCAGCUGGCGCCGAUCCGUCCAAUAAAUGAUUAGUUAUACUUUAGGUCAAAUUUGAAAGGUAAUGUAAUUUCAUAGGCCAAUCAUUAAGGAUUAGAGCUAAGAAUAUGAAUGAUUACAUGCACUAAACCUUGUGUGUCUCAGGUGGAAUUAGUCAAUAAUCAUACGCGGCGUUGCAGAACCACACCUGGGCCGAAUUAAUCCCAUCCUUCGUUAACUUCUUAUCGAAAUCGAUAAAUAACCCUCACACACCUACCUGAUUUAAACAAACGCAGGAGUUAAUCGAAAAAUCAUCCCUCAUUAACCAAUCGACCAGAAAUUAUGCUAAACUAACAAAGAAGCAUCAAGCAAAAUACAAAAAGUUAAUAAAAGGUGCGGUCUUGAUCAGUAGGGUAAAGCUACAAAUACGACCAUGCUGUGGACAUCAGCUUUACAUGAAACGUCAAAUAUUGAAGAAGAAAGAAAUGGACGUGUAAUUCCCUCCACCCAAGAUCACUGUAUACAAACCAGACUUCUCUAGUCUAGUAAUUUAAAUUCUAGGAUCCCUUUCCAAACUCCUUAAUUUCCCACCAACAACAUGUCAUAUCUAUAACUGAUCUUCGACCCCACAAACCACUACUAGAAAUAUACACAAAUGUGCAAGGCCCUGAAUGAAUUUGUUGCUUAGCAAAAGUCGCACAAAAAAAAAAAAAAAAAACAAUUCUAGCUAGUUGAACUUGAGUACUGUAUAUAUUGGCAUUCCAAUUUAGAUUUCAUUGAUUGAUACUGUUUCAUGAAAGGCAAGAGACAAACCAUCUUUAUCAGUUUUGAAGUCUAAAAUAGUAGUACUAUGUGGGAAGUGGGAGUAGGAUAUGAACGGAAGAUGGAGGUUCGUGGACUUCAGUGUCCUACUGUCACGGUUUCGUAACUUUUAACCUAAAAGCUAAGGAAAACAAAAUCGCUAUAGUCAAAAGGGCCGAUCAGCCGCGACAGAAUAUUGGAAAAAAAGAGUCGUGGUAGUAGCAACAUUUUCCAACGAGAGACAGAAACACUUUGGUUUCAGGUUAGGAACAGAAUAAGGAGGAUCAGGAUCAUGAUCAGGGUACAAAGAUACAAUACUUGUCUUUCUUCUUUCCCGAAACAAAGAAAGAAAAAAAGCAAGAAAAGUACUGCAUGAAAUUAAGCAAAUUACAACUGAAACCGAGAUGAAAGAUUCUUGAAUUUUGCCUUGAAGUUUUCAUCUGUUCUCUGGGUGCAAUGGGAAGAGUUCUAGGGUCCUAUCUCCCUC
rnacentral:lncRNA from 1 species